AGUCUAACCUUGUGUGCCCACAGGCAUAAACAGAGGAGUCUGGCAUACAAAGUGAGGAAGCGUCAGACGAGCAGCGCGAGCACGAUUAAACCUCCCAAGAACCUAAAAGAGAGAGAGAGAGAGAGACAAUAGUACAAAAUAAAUAUCAAAUCUAGCAUUUAAAUCCCACCCUGAGAGUAAAAUAAUAAACAUUUUAUUCUAACUUGAUAUCCAAAAAAGGAAAGAAAAAAAGGCACGUGAAAUAUGCAGAGAAAAAAACAAAAAUCUUUCCAGGUUAAACACUCUCUCGUUAAAACUGGUUUUCAUUCUUGAUCAAUUUUUAAGUCAAGUAAAAAAGCAUGAUGUAUCCUUCGAUAUAAUAAAAACACCAGAUAAGUACUGGGGAGACUUAUUCCUUCAAGCUUGGGAGAGCACUAGUUCAUUCGCAUUGUGAUGGCGUGUGAUGAAUAAGAAGAAAUUAAAGGAAAAGGCGGCACAUGAAAAUUAGAGUCAAACCUCGAAACGAAGCGCCAUUGAAAGAUUGUUCGUCUGCAGGUUUCACAGGGAGAGAGUGCGAAAACAAUGAUUGAAAGAAGCAGCGGCAGCUUGAUGGAGGAGGGGAGGAAGUGAAAGUGUGGUAUAGGAAUGUUGUGCGCCAAAGAGCAAAACCCACCUCUGCCUCGGCGGCUGUGCCCGUAAGCUGUCUUUCUUUUGUUAUGUUUCUGUUAUGUUUCGUUUCCGAUACAGGUCUUUUUUAAUUUUUGAAAAAAUUUAUUAAUUUUGAAUUAAUUAUUUUUUAUAUUUUUUAAUUAUUUUAAUGUGUUAAAACCAAAAUUAAAUUUUAAAAAUAAAAUAAUAUUAUUAUAAUAUAUUUUUAAAUAAAAAAAUAAUUUUAAAAAACAAUUUUAAACACGUUUCUUAACAGCCACAGAAUGAGACUAGUGGGUCAAAAACAUUUUAGGUAAAGAAAAUGUUGUGACCUAGAAAAGGAUGGACCCAGGUUUAGCCCGUCGAAUUCGGAUGUCUUGCAGCCUGGGGUCUUGGAAAUGUUUUUGAAUUAGGCCCAACCUUUUACUAAAAAGCCAUGCUAAGAGAACCCAAUAUCUUCCCCUCGGGCUUUCUCGUUCUGUAUUUUGAUCAUAGGAUCAUUCAAAUUUGAGAAAGACACGAGAUGAUAUGCCGGCGUGCUACCACGGGCUUAUAAAACAAAUAUAUUUGAUAGUAUUAUAAUUAUAAAUCAGCGCUAGAUAAGUAAUAGAAAUUAAAGAUAUGAUGGAACAAAUAUUUCAUGACGAAAAAAAAAGUUAUGUUGGUGAUCAAAAACUUAGAGACUAAACAAAAUGAUUUGUAGCAAUCUACAGUGUUUUGUGAGGAAGGAUAUAGUGCUUUCACCACGUGAUUUAGCUUUUCAGUUAAUAAAAAGCAAAAAAAAUUACAAAGCUAAAUUCUCUACCAACUUGAUAUUUUAAAAAAAAAACCAACAAAUAUAAUUUUGGAAGGAAAAAAACCCAUGAGAAAAAAUAUUGCAGUAAUUAACAAUAUUUUGUGAGGAAAACUAUAGCGUUUUUUUCAAUAAAAUAAACUAAAAAACCAUUUAGAGAAAUAUUGUAACAAUCCACAGUGUUUUGUGGGAAAAACUACAACGCUUUCCUCGUGUGAUUUAGCUUUAUUGUAAUUAUAAUUCUUAACCAACUCAAUAUUAAAAAAAAAUCGACAAAGAUAAUUAUGAAAAAAAUCAUAAAAAAAUCACAUGGGAAAACACUGCAAGAAUUCACAGUGUUUUAAAGAAAAAAAAUUACAAAGCUAAAUUCUUAAUCAGCUCAAUAUUAAAAAAAAAAAUUGACAGGGACAAUUUUAGAAAAAAAAUAACAAAACAAACACACAAAAAAAAAUCAUGUUGGAAAACACUGUAGCAAUUCACAGUGUUUUAUGAUGAAAGCUACAGUGCUUCCCCACAUGAUUUGGCCUUAUUUGUAAUGACCUGUAAUUGUAAUUCAUAAACAACUCAAUAUUAAAAUAAUAAAAUUGAAAAAGAUAAUUUGAAAAAAAUUAUAACAAAAAAAAAACUAUGCGGAGAGACACUGUAGCAAUCCAUAAUGUUUUAUGAGCAAAGCUACAAUGCUUUCCCCACAUGAUUAAGCUUUAUUACAAAGUUAAAUUCUAACCAACUCAAUAUCAAAAAAAAAAAAUCGACGAAGAUAAUUUUGAAAAAAAAUAUCACAAAAAAAGAAAACACAAAAGAAACUGGAAAAAAACCAUGUGAGGAAAAACUGUAUCAAUCCAUAGUGUUUUGUGAGGAAACACUUGUAUUUACUUGUAAUUGCAAUUCUUAAUCAGCUUACUAUUUAAAAAAUAAAAUUGACAAAGAUAAUUUUAGGGAAAAACAUAACAAAAACAGAAAAAAAAAACCACGUGGGGAAAAAACAUUGUAGCAAUCAAUAGUAAUUUUUUAGGAAAGUUACAAUAUUUUCCUCACAUAUUGUAACUGUAAUUUUUAACCAGCUCAAUAUUAAAAAAUAAAAUAAAAAAAGAUAAUUUCGGAGAAAAUCAUAAAAAAAACCAUGCGGAGAAACACUGUAGCAAUCAACAAUUUUUUAAAGAAAAAAAAUUACAAAACUAAAUUCUCAAUCGGCUCAAUAUUAAAAAAAAAUCGACAAAUAUAAUUUUGAAAAAUAAAGAAAUAAAAUAGAAAAACUAUGUGGAAAAACAUCGCAACAAUCCUCAGUGUUUUAAAGAAAAAAAUUAAAAAGCAAAAAUUUUAACCAGGUCAAUAUUUAAAAAGUAAAAUCAAUAAAAAUAAUUUUGGAAAAAAAAGAAAAAAUAAAUGAAAAAAAAAGAAAAAAUAGGAAAGUUGAAAAAAAAAGUAAUUAAAAAAAAGAAAAAAGAGAAAAGUUAGCAAAAAAAAAGAAGGGAAGAAUCACUGUGGAUUACUGUUGUAAUCUACAGUGAUUUAGGUGUGGGGGAACAGUGAUUCCCCCACACCAUUUAGAUAGUGUUAUAAUUCCCCUCUAAUGCUUCAGUGUGGACUAGUUUUUUGACUCGUGAUAAAUAACAAGUUAGAUUUUUUUUAAUAUUAUCAAAUUUAUAAAAAAAAUAGGAAGUAAAAAAAUUCAAUGCAUGUUCACCAAAUAUUUUUAAAAUGCUUAAUCAAUGACAUAUUGAAUAAAAUAUUUUUCUAACAAAUUAUUGAGAUGUCGACACAUCAGACUGACCUGAAAAACAAUGGAACUCAUACUUAAAUUAAUUAGAAAACCCAGUUAUAAUGAACCACACAUUAAAGAUCGAAAGCUUAUAACACAAAAAAAAUUUGACUAUGGUAAACCUGCAUCGGCGAUCAGCACAACGACGCAAGCUGGGGAAAAUGUUUCUAAAUGUAAGAAGAAAAGUAUCGAGGUAGCACUAGGAUAAUAUUCCAAAAUAACAUGAAAUAAAGCAAAAGAUAAGUUCAAUUAAUUUAAUAGUGCGCGCGAGCGUGUGUGUAAAGCAACCCUAAUUCAAUAGCAUGAAAAACAAAGAAAACUCGGGUAAAUCUCUUAAAUUUGAGUUAAUAUUUAAAAAUUGCAACCCGUGAAAUCUCAUGCUUGAACUUAAUCGAGAAGGUUAAUUCUCGACCAGUUUAAUGUUGGAAAAUAAAAUUAAAAAAAAAAUCACAGCCCAUGAAAUCUCAUAUCCAGGCUUAAUAAAAAAGGUCAAUCACAUACUAAUUUAAUGUUGAAGGAUAAAAUUAAAAAAAAUUAAUCUAAAAAACUUGUUAAAUCAUAAAAUUAGCAAUUAAAAGAAUGAUGAUUGAACUUCAAAGAUAACAAAUAAAAGAAGAAGAAAUCGCAAAAAGAAAUCAAUUUUAUAAAUCACAUAGGAAAAUAAUAAUAAAAAGAAGAGAAAUAAAAAAUUAAAGAAUAGUGAAAUAUGAAAUAUUUUUCAAACUAUAAUAUUUUUUAAAAAUUUAAAAAUUAAAAUUAAGAGGAGAAAUAAAUUCAAAGGAGAAAGAUAUUGAAGGAUGACGUGAUUUUUUUCAAGGAACAAUACACAAAUUAAGGUGAAUAAAAGAAAAAAAAACAAAUAAAUAUACAUCAAACCAUAUAGAACCACCAUACAGGAUUCACCUAUUACAUGUCACCUAUCUAGUUAUUAGAUAAUUUGUGUCAAUAGAAUAAAUGUGAGGUGAAGUGCUACCCGAUUGGUUUUAAAUUUAAGAAUCUAAUGUAGAAUUAAGUUAAUAUUUGAAAGAAUGUUAGAAAUUAUUUUUGAAAUAUUUUUUAUUUAAAAAUAUAUUAAAUUAAAUUAUUUUAUUAUUAUUUUUAAUUUUUUUAAUAUUAAUAUAUCAAAUAAUCUAAAAACAUAAAAAAAUAAUUUAAAAAAUAUAUUUGAUGCCAUAUAUCACCUCAGUCCAGGUAAAAUACGAUUGGGUCUCACGUUCAGAAAAUAAUGAAACGGGUCAGGGCCGUCAGGCACGUCUGUCUGUUAUUAGUAGAAGACAUUCAUGAUGGGCGGAUGGAUACAGGCAGCCACAGCUAGCCAUGCUAACUUGUCAAUUUUCAACUUGAACCUCUCCAAUUCUUCUUUUUCCUAGAUCUCCUACGCGGUUAUAAUCCUAAUUACGAUCCCAGGUACCGCAGACUCUCUUUCGUUCUUCUUCUUCUCUCCAGGUUUCGUUAUUAGAUCCACAUAUUUAUUCAUUCACUCAUUGCCUCUCUAGACUUCCAAACUCUCUCUCAAGUCUCAACGUAUAAGACUUUGAUUUAUCUUGCCAUUUAAUAAAGUUUAUAUACACUGACUCGUGUUGAUCUAAAUUUAAUCCAAUUUGUUUGCUCGUCGUUUUACUGCAAUUAAUCAACGUAGCUUUCUUGAACUAAGAAAUGCGCAUGUCAAAUUUGUUUGUUUGCCUGUAUGCAUACAGCUCAUGUUGGCCUUGAUGGUUGACGAGUGUGAUUUAUGAGGCACUUCUUGUAUUCUAGACGCAAAUCUGUUUGUUAUGCUCGAUUGUCUUAUUUGCAGGGGUCAGAUCGAGUGAUUUGGCAAUAUGCAGCGUGCUCCGGUGACAAUCGAGGAGCAGCUGAUUUUGAAAGCGAUAAAGGAGGAAUGCCCAUGGGAGAAUCUCCCAAAAAGGCUUCAAGCCACUCUUAAUUCUAAAGAUGAAUGGCAUAGAAGGUUAGACUUAGUUGCUUCUUAUUUGCUAUGGAGGUUUAGGGUUUGAAUUAUGUAAAUAAGUGAGGUUUGAGGACUGAAUAGUUGCCUUUGUGGUUGGAAGUUGGAACUGAUAUUGGCGCUCUUAAAUUGUGGACUUCUGGUUUUUUACUUUCACUCCUCUUCUCUUGUCCCCUUCGAUUUGCUUUUCUUCUUCUUUCCUUUCUUCACAAUCUAAUUUGUUUGAGGACUACAUGCAGGGUUAUCGAACAUUGUAUUAAGAAAAGACUCCAAUGGAAUUCAUGUUUUGCUCGCAAAGUAUGCAAAGAAGGUGAAUAUUAUGAAGACAUGAUGCGCUACUUGCGAAAGAAUCUGGCGGUGCGUGCUGUAUAGAAAUUUUUAAACUAUUUUCACCACAUGAAUAUGGGUCGCACCGUUUAGAAUAGUUUUUGUGCUUCUGGAAUCCUACUUGUGUAAUGUUGCUUUAAACUGAAUUUCAUGUUUUGGUUUCCAAUACAACCACCUUUCUUUUCACCUUGUAGAGUAAGUAUCAUUUCUUUUAUGUUUCUCUGUAUAUUACUAAUUGACUUCAUUGCUUGCAGCUAUUUCCCUAUCACCUUGCAGAUUAUGUUUGCCGUGUAAUGCGGUUAUCACCUUUCAGAUAUUACUGUGAUAUGAUAUUUGAGGUCAUGAGAAAUGGUAAGAAGAUAUUUCUUCAAUCAAAACUGAAUAUGUUGCUCAAUUAUGUAGCCAUUAUAUUUUAUUGCUGAUCAGACUUUGCAUAUCAAUCCCUUUGUUUACAGAGCAACCUUAUGACAGCAUCCCAAAUUUUAGUGCUGCAGAUGCCUUGCGUCUUACAGGAAUUGGAAGAAAUGAAUUUAUUGAUAUCAUGAACAAAUGCAGAUCUAAGGUACUGGAUUGGAUUGCUCAUAUGUUUAGAUAUUCACAUGGAUGUAUGUUUGGACCUUAGGUUGAGCUCAUUGUUAUCAUCAUUUUCAAUGGAACAAACUGCUUUCUUACCCAUCAUUUACUCAUCUGGAGCUAUUCAGAAAAUUAUGUGGAAGCUGAACAAGUCAAUUGCAAAAGAACUCUUACCCACACAACCUGUGGACUUUGCAAUUGAACCAUGGUGGGGAGUGUGUCUUGUCAAUUUUACCUUGGAAGAAUUUAAGGUGAGAUCCUUCUAAAUCUGAAAAGUGCUUGCACAAAAUCACUCCUUCGCUUUUUUUUUUGCCUAUGAUUUCAGCACUAUUUGUUUUUGCUUUUGAAACUGCAUUCGGGCGCGUUUCAAAAGUGCGUUUGGCUUGAAAAAGUAUCAAAUUGAUGUUUUUUUAGUGUUUUCCGGUAGUUUUGAUGUGUUGAUAUCAAAAAUGAAAAAAAAUAUCAUUUUAAUGCAUUUUCAAGUGAAAAGUACUUUUGGAAAGCAUUUUGCACCACAAUACUAAACACAUGCUUCAUACGAGACAACCAGAUGUAUUUAGGUUGCCUUUAGAAGCCCUGUUUGCAUUUGGUUGCUCAAUAGUCGAGCCUUGUGUUGCUGAUGGCAACAAAUCCUUUUCCUGACCUUUUCAGAAACUUUCUGAAGAAGAGACGGCUACAAUUGAUAAAAUUUGCAAGGAGGAGGCUAAUGCACUUAUCCUCUUUGAUCCUGAUGUUGUAAAAGGCCUGUACCAACGAGGAUUAAUUUACUUUGAUGUCCCUGUCUACCCCGAUGAUCGUUUUAAAGGUAAGUUAUUUGUUUUUUAAUUGUUGAAAAGUCAGGUCAGUAAGCUUAACCAUGUUUUCCAGUUUGUUAAAAGCAUUAAUUUAUCCUUCUUACUAGAAAGUCUGUAUUUGAGUAUGUUGCUGGCUCAUGUACAUUUUGUAUGAAUGUGUCUCUAUAUCAUUUAUUAUGACUUCUUGCACCUAUGCACAUUUCUUUAUGAAACACUACGUCAGUCUGGAAUUUCUUUCCAUUCUGACAUUGUCUGAUGAAUGCUUGAGAGUUAUCUGUUAUGUGCCCCCUUCCUCCUUUGGAAAAAAAAUGAACUCAAUGAUUUGAAUUUCUGUGACUUGACAGGAGAAUUAACUGUAUAAAAUCAAAAUGCCUAUACUUUCCUAGAUCACAUCUUACUAAAUGAUGUCCUGAGUUUCUGGUUGUGUUGUUGCUAUUUCAGUGGUUAUGAAUCAUUUUCUGUGUGGCUCCAAUGUGUUUAACGAGUUGGGAAUUUUAGAUUCAUAUAUUUGAAAAAUAGGUUUGUAGAAUGUGGUAGGAAAAUGAUAGUUCGGUGAUGGAUGGCUGAUGCUGUGUUAUAAAGUAACUUGCUGAAACUCUGUCAACAAGGACAAGGAUGAAGAAAAAGAAGAAAACUUGUAAUACCAUAGUAUGUUCCGCUGCAUCAAUAUAGCACAGGUGUUCCACAAAACAAAACCAUAAGUUUCCAAAAUCAAAAACAUCUUUGUCUCAACUCUAUCACAAAGACCCCACAAUUCAAAUCCUAAGUUGACUUAGUUUAAAUUGCCUAGAAUAUCAGCCAAAUUCUUUCUUUCGUUCUUUUUUUUUUCACACUGCAACAUAUUAAUCCCAGCAGUAUCCUAUAUUGAUCCCUCUAGCUUUGUCAUAAAAUAUGCAUAAUAAUGGUAUAUAUCCAUACUUGACCAUGCCUUUCUGUUUGGUUUGGAGCCUGAAACUAAUUUUGGAAAUUGUUUCAGACUUCCUUUCUUUUUUGUAAUUUUUAAACAUUUUUUAUAUCUGAUGGUUUAAUAAUAAGAUAUGUUGAUUUUGAAUUGAGAAAGUCUUUUAUAAGAUUACUCAUCCUGUUUGAUUUCUGGAGUCAGUUUGAUACUUUUUUUGAUGGUUCAGUUUCCAGGCUUGAAGGGUUUGUUUCCAACAGGGAGCAGUCCUACGAAGAUCCUACUGAAGAGUAAGGCAGUUAGAUGUUUUUCAGUUUUUGCAAUGUACUAGUGGCAAACUAAGAUCUUAAUGCUUAUAAUUAAAUUAUCCAGGUUACUAUAUGCAGUCUUUGUUGUUUCAAGUGAGAAUGCUACUGUUGCUGAACUGGCAUCAACAUUGCAGGCUGACCUGUCUCAGCUGCAGGCGGCUGCAUCAUUUGCUUGUAGAUUAGGAUGGGCAGAUAAAUUGAUUGAUCCAGGAUCCAUUCUUCAAGAAACAAGCAUACCUGGGACUCCUAAAAACACUCUUGGUGAUGAGGAAGAUGCUUUUCAUGCUAGUAUGCGCUCAGCAAACAUGUUCAACGAUAGUGAUUCUAGUCAGCAUGGAGAUCUUACAGUGACAGAAUACUCCGGACCACGUUCCAACCACACUCAAGUUGCUUUUAUUGUUGAUGCUAAUAUAACAUCUUAUCUCAUGAUGGGGUCUGUUUCACCAGGUUUUUUUCUUCACCGUUGCCCAUAUUCUUGUCCCUUUUCUUUUUGUGUUGAAGAUAAGUGAGAAUAAGAUUAUGUACCAACCAUGUAGUCAGGAUUCAUAAAUACUGUUAUUAAUGUUUCACGGGAGCUGAAAUGCGGAGCCUAUAAAGCUAUGAACUUUGCACUUGAAUGAUUGGAAGCAUAGCCAUUCCUUUUUGUGUGAGACAUUGGCUUGACCAUUUAUUGAGAAAGUGAUUGAAUCAGAUGUCAUGGGAGGGGGCACUAAUUCUAAAUUUAGCAAAAUACAAAAAUUCUGACAAACCUCCUCCAUUGCCAUCAUCAAUUUCUUCUUGUAUCUUUCGAGGAGUGACCCUGUAUAUUUCAACAUAUUUUUCUUUCAUCAUUCUUCCUUAAGCAAUCACCCUGAUUUGUCUUUCAUUGCUGGAUUUUAUAAAUACAGGAAAAUAUAUUGGAAACUGUUUGGUUUAUAAAUAUAAGCAUUCACAUUGAAAAUUAUCACCCUAACAAUUUUUCUGUUGGAUUUAGAUAUUAUUUAACAUUUUGCAAUGGAUGAUUCCUGGUGUUGGUCUAUUAAGGUCUUUAUUGGAUUGUUGAAUUGGCAUUUAGAUGCUUCUCCUUGUAUGACUAGAUUUGUUAUUUUCCAUCUGAGAUUUUAAUGCCAUGGUGUAAAGAAUAUCGCUUAAAGACAGUGAUCACUGACAUGUAAUUUUUUAUUGUAGUUUCCUUUGAGAUGUGUUUGAUAGUUGGGUUUUAACUUGAAAUGUCUUAGCCACUGUAGAACAUGUUUGAGAAAGCACAACAUGACUUGAUGCUGGCAGAGUCUAAAGAACCUUUGGACUGAGAGAUUAGCUUGACGAGCAUAUUAUUCUUUGUAAUCCAUAUACUGGGAUUUUGCUAGUCAAGACACUGCAUUCUCUGUCUUUUCCAUAAUACCGUGGAGAUAAUUGAUCCAUCAUGCAGCUCAAUUAUUCUAUUGGCUAGUCGCAUAUCAGAAAAUUUUGUAGCCUAAUGGUACUAAUGGAGACAUGAACAUGAGGCGUAUCAUGGUUAUUUUAUUCCCCAAGCAGAAAUAUAACUAGUUUAUCACAAGUGAAAGAGCUUGGUGUGAAUUUCAUCUGUUUCAUCUUUCCAACAUUGCUAUAUUCCUUUUCUAGUUGUUUCAAUUCAUGAAGAUUUCUUCUUAUGUUUUGCAGGCUUAAAAUCCCAUGCUGUAACCUUAUAUGAAGCAGGGAAGUUGGGUCAUGCUAGCAUUGCAGAUCUCUGCAAGGAUCUGAGUACCUUAGAAGGAGCAAAGUUUGAGGGUGAAUUGCAGGAAUUUGCAAAUCAUGCCUUUAGCCUCCGUUGUGUCCUGGAAUGCCUCCUAUCAGGUGGGGUUGCUGCUGAUGUAAAAGUGGAGGAAGCUUGCAAUAAGAUGGGCACAGCAGCUUCAAGCAUUGAUGAGGCUACAUCUUUGAUAGCUGAUGUCGCUGUGUCUGAAAAUUCAGAAAAUAUUGGGGCUGAUGAAGUGAAAAUAGACAAUGAUGAUUCCAUGAAUUCAAUUACGCCUGAAGCUGGUUCUGUUUUGGCUAACCUUGUUUCUGGAAGUACUGAUGAUGACACCACUUCUGUUAUUUUAUCUGAAGACAUAAAUUCAUCAACUGAGGUCUCCAAAUCAGAUCAAGAUGUCCAGAAUGAUGAUAAACUUAUUCCAUUUGGAGGGUCUGAUGUUGGAGAAGGAACUUUAAAGAGGAGAAGGGAUUAUCGUGUGGAUAUUCUCCGCUGUGAAAGUUUGGCUGCUCUAGCACCAUCAACUUUAGAUUCAUUAUUUCUCCGUGACUAUGAUAUUGUUGUGUCUAUAGUUCCUCUCCCUCAUUCAGCAGUUCUUCCUGGACCAAAAGGUCCGAUCCACUUUGGUCCUCCUUCACAUUCAUCCUUGACUCCAUGGAUGAAGUUGGUGCUUUAUUCAACUGUGGGUAGGGGGCCUUUGUCAGUUGUUCUGAUGAAAGGGCAAUCUUUACGUUUGCUUCCUGCACCAUUGGCUGGCUGUGAGAAAGCCCUUAUAUGGUCCUGGGAUGGUUCAACAAUUGGAGGGUUGGGAGGCAAGUUCGAGGGAAAUUUGGUCAAGGGAAGUAUACUUUUACAUUGUCUAAAUUCACUUCUUAAAUACUCAGCUGUCCUGGUGCAGCCUCUCAGUAAGUAUGACCUUGAUGAAUCAGGAAGGGUCAUUACUGUAGAUGUACCAUUGCCCCUCAACAACUCAGAUGGUUCCAUUGUUUGUGUGGGGAAUGAACUGGGUCUCUGUGAAGAGGAAAGUUUGAAACUGAACACUUUGUUAACCAAUCUAACACACACGAUGGAGUUACCAACUAUUGGUUACAUUCGCCUGUUAAAGCUUUUCAGUGAAAGAGAAUCAGACCACUUUGCACCUAGUGAUAAAAAAUAUGAAUGGGUCCCACUAAGUGUGGAAUUUGGAAUCCCCCUUUUUAGUCCAAAAUUAAGCAACAAUAUAUGUAAAAGGGUUGUUGCAUCAGAAUUGCUUCAAUCAGAUACACUUACUGAACACUAUGAGGCCAUGCAAGGCUUACGAAAAAGGUUGCGUGAUGUCUGUGCAGAGUACCAGGCAACAGGUCCUGCUGCAAAACUUCUGUACCAGAAAGAGCAAUCGAAGGAGUCACCUCGGCAACUCAUGAACUAUGCCAGUGGAAGAUGGAAUCCCCUAGUGGAUCCAUCUUCUCCCAUUUCGGGAGCCUUGAGUGAGCAUCAGAGACUAAAACUUGCCAAUCGACAACGAUGCCGAACUGAAGUCCUAAGUUUUGAUGGUAGCAUUUUAAGGUCUGUUGGAUCUCUCUUAUUGUUUGUCUGUGUUAGUUUGCUUCCUCUAAUAUGCCAUAUGAAUUGCUCUCUGUAUUAGCAUUUGCUGAUAUAGUUCUCUGAUAUAAACUCUUAAUUUUUUAUUGAUGUCAUUUUUUAAAAAAAUUUAGCGCGUGAUUAUGUCUAUAUAUGCAUAAAAUUGGUGGCAAGUGGGAUUACCUAUGAAAAAAGAGGUCAUAAUAUAGAAACUUGCUGUCUUUAUUUCUCUAGUUUGCUCAUCUUGAUGAAUGAUUUGCAAAUGUACUUUGCCGUAACCUCGUGCAAUUUAAGAACCUAAAGAUUAUAAUUGUCCAAUAAUAUUGCAGAUCAUAUGCUCUAACUCCAGUAUAUGAGGCUGCCACAAGGCCCAUUGAAGAAACCCCAAUGGUGAAAUCUACAAAAGCUGAUCCUGAUGAAGCUGAUAGUAGAGAAGUAAUUCUUCCUGGUGUGAAUCUAAUUUUUGAUGGUUCUGAACUGCAUCCCUUCGACAUAGGGGCUUGCCUGCAGGCUCGUCAACCGGUUUCUUUAAUAGCUGAAGCUGCGGCAGCCUCAGCUUCUACUUCAAUUAAAUAGGCCUUCAUUUUGCUUGAUGGGGUAGACACAAGUAUCUGUCAAUCUAUCAACAAAUGGCAGUUGACGAACAUUACACCAGCUUUAUUCUGAUGCCUGGUUCACCUGUUUCACCUUUGAGGUUGCUUGUUGUGCGUGAGGUAAAUGCAAAGUUUUCCUUUUGCUAUAGUAAUUGGUUAGAUUUCAACAAUGUUAGUUAUUCCCUGGGAAGUGCUUUAUGUUCUUUUUAUGAGUAAGAACGUGUGAAAAGAAAAACUCAGGGGCAGGCUAAAAUUUCACUUUUCCUGAUGCAAUUUAGGUCAGAGAUCACAAACUUGAGAUGUUUUAUUAUUUCGUUUUUUUUUUUUUUUGCUUAUUUUACUAUGGACUAAGGAUACUGAAUAUAGGCAUUCACUAUAUAUAUUUGAAAAUAAUGUUACAAGAGGUUUGAAGUUCAUUCUCUGUCUGUGUGCUUAUGUCUAUCUCUCUCUCUCUUUUUAGGUGCUGGUUUUAUUUAAACUUGUAAAUGAAAUCUUAUGGGUGAGAAACCUGUUGGUUUCAUCUUGCAUUUUUUUUCUUGGACUUGACUGCAUUAGUGCAAUUUGAGAUGGGCGGUUGGUUGACUAAUUUUUUAAAGCUAAUAUAAUAAAAAUCCCAUAUAACAGAAAAGCGACCAGUGUUUGGGACAUUGGCUAUGAUACCUUAAAGAGCAAAAUUGUUUUAAGGAAAUAGGCAACUAGAAAAACAAUUGCUGGUGGCGGAAGAUUUAUAUUGCUUAAACCUUAAUAAUUAUGUUUAAAUAAACCUUAAUAAUUAUGUUUAGCAUCACCUAGUUGGUUUUUUUUACAAUCUUAAGAGAGGCUUUAUAUUUUUAGGCCCUUUUACUGAAAUAUUAAAUGUGGAUUGCUUUCAUCUCUAAGCCAUGCCACUGAUACUUAUUUUGUUUUUCAUAUCUUCCCAGCUUCCAUCUCUGACUAAGGAACGCGUAGACUUUAUUUUAUUUUUCAACUCCUUCAGUCUCUAUGCCUUUUUGUCUCAUUAUUUUUAAACUUUCACUAGAUGUUCAUCCUAUUCAGUAGACCUCCCCUCCCCAACUAAAGAUCCAUUCGUUCCUUACAAAAUUUCCUGGUGUAAAUGCAGGUCGUAUUAGUUUAAGGCUGAACUGGUUACACCCAGUUAAUCCGUACCGUAAAAAGAGAAGAAUGAUGGUUUUUAGAGCAGAUGUGUCUCGAUUUGAUGCCUGAUGUUUAUUCCCCACCAAGAAACAAGCUUGUUUUUUUCACAUGAUAUUGGGGGGAAAUGCGGCACAUUGAUGUUUCCUGAAUGUCAAAAAUACAAAACCUUCUCCCAUGAACUGCAUAUAAUUUUGAUUCCAUUUUUUUUUUGUUACUGCAUAUAAGAUUUAUUAAACAUGUAAAGGGGACAGCAUGCAUCAGAGUCUGAUGAUUUUUUUUUUCGAAACUGUAGUGAGGAAUUAUCAUGUUAUACUGGACAUGUACUUCCCUGAACGCAAUAUUGUAAUUACCUAACUUUUCAUAUGAUAAGCCAAAAAGUUGAUACCACUUGCAUCAACUCUUGUGUGAGAGAAAAAUGCUGCCAUUAUUUUUCAAAAUUCUAAAGUUGGCGCCUGUUUGGUUAUUUUGAGGAUGGUGCAGUGGUAAAAGGGAAGGAUAUUUGUUUAGAGUAUCAGGAGGAUUUCAACUGAAAGUAUGCAUGUGCCAGUCUGCUUUUGACACAAACACACUGGUUAGUGUUGCCCGACUGCUGCUUUUACGAAACUCAUCUCUCUCUCUCCCUCUCUGUUUCCUUUGGUACAGAAAGGGCCCAAGAAAACAAAGAUAAAAAAAGACCAAACCCGAUCACAUUCUAACAGAGGCUGAGCGACGAUAGUCCUCACGAAGCAAAUCCAUUAGCUCUGGAGGAGAACAGGGAAUAGCUCCUCACUCUGCACUGCCUUCUAUACUUGCUAAUCAAUCAGCACGUAUAUUCCCCUCUCUGCAAGCGUGUCUUGCGAUCACAUUCCAAUUUCUAUCCAGCAGUUCUUUUAUUUGAGCCAAGAGUGUAAAGUUAGGAUAAUAUCUAGAUUGAUCUUGAAGGAUUGUCUGCUGAACCACUUUCCAAACAACUUUUCGAUAACCUCCCAUCCAAGCUAGGUUAAGGCAGGCCUUAACUGUCCACGGUUCUGUUGAUACAAGGUUUACAAAAACCCAAUUUGGAUGGGAUUUGAUGACUGAAGUUGCAAUUAAUCUAGCAUUUUAUAUUUUUUAUUAAUCGUUCAGGAUAUCUUUAAACUCAUCAACUGAAUCAAAUCAGGGUAAUUUUUAUAGAGUUAAUUUUAAACUAGAACCAAACAAGAAAUCAAAUUAGAAAAAUUUAAGAUUGACCCACUAAAUUAGAUUUAAUAACAAUAGUUCAUUAGAGCCUAAAUAUUUUUUUCCAGGUUUAAUUUUUUUAUCCAACUCAUAACAGAAGUUAGAAAACGAGAUUAGUCUAUAAUCAAUUAAAUUUAGAAAAACAAUAAAAUAUUAUAAAAAGCCAAGAAAAAAAAGUUGACAGUUUCUUUUUUUUUCUAUUUAUUAAUAGAAUUUUAAUUUUAUUUUUAAUUUUUGUUAACACUAGAAAAAAAAAUAUUGACAUUAGCAAAAUCUUCUAUUAUAUUUUAAAAAUCCAAGAAACAAAUAAAAAAAUGGAUUUUUUUUAUCACAAACUUAUUAGCAAAUACUAUAAUAAGAAUUGAUUUGAUUAUAGAUGAAGGGACCACCACUUCCUGAUGAACGAAAUCAUAAAAAUCCAAAUUAUAAUCACAGAGUACUUUUACAAAAAACAAUGUUACCAUAAAAAUCUCUGGUGUUCUUAAAUCUCAUUCUCUUACCAUAGAAUGGGUCCCGCGACUCCCGCGUGUUCCUGCCCAGACAUGGAGCUGCCCUUAAUGUUAUAGUUUAGCAGCAGACUGGAUAGGGCGGAUGUUUAAAUCUAGGCUGGGCUGACUGGAUAGGGCCUAUGUUUUACUCCCACAUGGACUGACUUUAUUGGGCCUAUCAUCUGGGCUCUUUGCUUUUAAGGCGUCGUGCCUCCUUUGUGUAUUCUCAAUCGCAAUAAUCCCUUUAAAAAUUAAAAAUUAAAGGGAUAACAUUUUAUAGAUUGAAAACUAGUUUAUCUGCCCGUGAUUUGUGGCUGAAAUAUAUUUUUAAAAAUAUAAAAAAAAAUCAUGAAGAGCACGGAGAUUUUAUUUGCAAUGCUAUAAAUCCGGGUAAAAGGAUAAAUUUUUAAAUUUCUUAUCUUGCAUAAAUUUUCAAUAAAAUAUAUAAAAGCUAAUUCAAUAUGUUGGUUUAUUCAAAAGGUUUUUAAAAAACCCUGGAUGAUCAUUUUUUAUUUUAAAAAUUAAUGUUUAAUGAUAAAAAUAAAAAAAUAAGAUAAAAAAUACAAAAGGACAUCGAGCCACAAAAACUUUUUAAACCAGUAAUCUGGGAUAUUACAUCGAAAAUAUCAUAUAUGAAAAAAUUGAUGAAACUCAAUUCUCAUUUAAAUAUUGACAUAUGCAUCUAUUUUUUUCUUAUUAUGAAGAUCAACUUUCCUCUUUAGUUUUUAAUUAGUUUAACAACUUUCUAUAUGAUUUACUAUUUUAUAUAUUUUUAAUUUGUUUUAUAAAAUACAAUCAUCAUCUUUUGAGUUUUUAAUUAAAAUCUUUUAUGAUAUAAAAAAAUAAAAAAAUAUAUAAAAGAUUGUUAUCUUUGCACAAGGCACAUUAGUUAUUAAAAGAUUGUUCGGGGAGGUAUAAUUGUAUUUUUUAUAUUUAUUUUUAUAGUAAAAUAACCUAUAAUUGUAUUUUUCAUAUUUGUUUUUAUAGUAAAAUAACAUUAUCACCUCUUAAUUAAAAAAAUUAAAAUUGAUGGUAAAAGUUAUAAAGGUCUUUUCUUUUAUCUAUAUACAAAAAAAUCGACAAAUAUGCCAUUGGGAUAAAAAACAUUACAACACAGGGUUAAAGGUUUUUAGAUUUUUUUACAAAAAUAUUUCUUUGUAAUUAUCAAGAUAAUCAAGAGUAUCACCCGUUUUUUACAUUUAUCAAAUAUUAUUUAAAUUUAAAAAUUUGUUAGCGCGUGCGAGGCAUCGUGCACUUUGAAUGGUGUAUGCGGCACCUUCUAAUGAUGAAAAAUGUCAUUUUACUUUUACUAUUCAGGUUACAUUUCUAUCAUGCUACUUCAAAUUAACUCAAAUAAGAUUUCUUUAUCUAUUUUUUAUUCAAUUAUAUGCUUUUAAUAUUUUUUUUUCAAAGUUAUCAUAAUUAUUUUAAUUUUUAUUGUACUUUAAUUAUUAUUAUAAAUUUUUUUUAUCAUAUAAUAAAAAUAAAAUAAACUUAUUAAAUUAGAUGGGAGCUAUAACUUCAAUCUUUUUUUUGUGUGGUUCGAAACGGGUUUUUUAUACUUAGGUAUUGUUUUAAUUGAAAAAAAAAAACGCAAGCGUGACGGGGUUCAUGAUACUGGAAUCUUCUUUUCUCAGGUUAUAAAUUAGCCUGCAGUGUAGCUGGCAAUCCUACCUGGUAUUUGACUAGAAGAGAUAAACAGAGUUAAUUUCACCGAAUGUUGACGUGGUGCCACAAAAGAGCCUACCAAGAAAGCAAAAACUAGACGUGCAAAUGGAUCCAAAAGUUCCUGUGAUUUCCCCACAAGAUAUUUUAUGCAACAAAUCUAAUAAGCUAUAAGGAUCCCAUCCAUGGACAAAAGCAAUGAUUCUUAAUGACGCCUUGGAAAUGGUGACAACCACGUGUAAAGACAUGAAGCGACUACACUCCAACGAUACCAAUCACGUGGCAGACAUGACUCCUUCCCUUCCUUUCUCUCGAGAUAUAAAGAUAAUAGAAAGCCGGCUCCCCACCGACAAGAGUGAUAUUAGAAAGUCCCCCCCUUUCCAUUCUCCACUAAUAUAAAUAAAUAAAUAAAAUUCGAAUCCUUUGAUUCUGGGAGAUAACUGCUGCUGCUGCUGAAGCUGAAAAGAAGAGGUAGCUCGCAGAUAUGCUUCAUCAAUCACUUCCGCUCCUCUGUGAUUCCAAAAUUGCUGACAGCAUACUUCUCUCUGUCUCACAUUUCUCAAACAACAACAACAACAACAGUAUCGGCUCUUCUCGUGUUCUCGAUGUGGGGUCAGAAAUCUCCCUCCUCUACCGCUAAUUUUUAGUGCAUGUAGAGAUAUAUUAACAUUUCAAUGUGUUCUUUUAGAUUGAAAUUCAGUAAACAAUCAUCCGGCGGCGGCAGCAGUGGGCGAGGAUUCUCCAGCAAGGCUGGAGCCAAGACCACUACAACACCUAAUGUUUACGGUCGUCGUGCUCAAGAAAGUGUGCUUGAGCAGGUAUAAUUAACUAAUCAUCGUUUUUCACAUAAUAUUCUGGAUUAUCGAGGUCUGUAAGAUCAGUGUUUGUUCUUUGUCUCUGUGAUUCUAGGAAGAAGCACCUCAAAAGUUGGGAUUUAAAACAUUCCCAGGUCAAGCAUUUCCAUUUGGUGUUUCACAAGUUGAAAAUGGGAUCAAUUUUGCUAUAUUUUCGCAGCACGCCACUGCUGUUACACUUUGCUUAUCACUCCCUCACAGGUAAUAUUUCCAUCCAUCCUUCCUUCCUUCCUGAUUGCUUAAAAAGUUACAGGCUUGCGAAUCCAUAUUGAUCGACUCGUCUGAUCUUUGUUUUUCCUCUUAGUUGCGUUCUGACAAACUUCAUGCUUUUUUUUGGUAGGGGAAAGUCUGAAAGGACGGAUGGUGGAAUGAUUGAGGUGGCUUUGGAUCCCAAAGUUAAUAAAACGGGAGACAUUUGGCACAUAUGCAUUGAGGUAGUGAUAUUGUCCUAUUUCUCAUAACACUUUAAUUUAAUGGUAGUAGUAGCGGUUAUUUUCAAGGUGAUCCAUGCUUUUUUCCAAGACUGCAAUUAAUUAUCACUUCCAUAAAUCUGUAUUAUUUCUAUAAGCGCAGGAUUUACCACGGGACGACGUGCUUUAUGGUUAUAGGAUAGAUGGUCCUCGAGAUUGGCGUCAAGGACAUCGAUUUGAUAGCAGCAUCAUGCUUAUUGAUCCUUAUGCUAAGCUAGUUGAAAGUCGCCGAUUUUUUGGUGAUGCCAGCCGUAAGCUGUCAAAAUUUUAUGGAACUUAUGAUUUUGACAGCUUGCCUUUUGAUUGGGGUGAUGACUACAAGCCUCCAAAUAUACCAGAGGUACCAAAUGUUGCUUGCAUUUCUAUUAUGUAUCGUGUUUUUGUUUCCCAUGGUAUAUUUUUGCUACAAAAUGAAAUUCAGCAACUGCAUGCUCUUCUACCCCUUUUUUCUGACUGAUAUUGAAUGAGUGAAUUACUAAUUCAUUUUGCUGCUUCUCUUAUGCUGAAUAAGUCUGUUACUAAAUGAUUUUUGCUAUUUCUUCUAUGCGCCUUCCAUGCAUUUAUUGCGACAUUCAGUUGAUAAUUUGACACACCUGUGUUUGAGUUGCAUUUGUCUUUUUUUUAUUUCCUCUCCAUUUUUUCUUUUUCAUAUAUUUUCUACUGUGUUUGCAGAAAGAUCUUGUUAUAUAUGAAAUGAAUGUCCGUGCGUUUACAGUUGAUAAAUCCAGUGGCUUGGAUCCAAGCAUACGUGGAAGUUACCUUGGCGUAAUUGAGAAGGUAAUGUUGAACUCAAUAGGCAAUAAUCUACGAAUAACAUUUGGAAGCUCAAUUCAUUGCCAGAGUUUUCACUUUGAAGUUUAAAGCAACUAUAAAUUUUCCACGUGAGUUUUUUUCUUUUUGUUGCAUUUGGAUGAUGUGUAGUAACUGGAAAUUUAGAAAAUCCUUUUGUAUGCAAUGUUUGACUUUCCUAUUAAUAAUUGUUUCCAGUAAUCACUUAGAUAGUCAGCUGUUAUCAUGUUGCAGCUACAAUAUCGCUAUGUCUCUUGCCUCUUCGAUAUCCUUUUUUACAUUUUCAGUUUCUUUUGUCGGAGAUGCUCAUUAGAGCUAUUCUAAAAGGUAAGGAUGAAUCUUAGGUUCAAUAUCCAAGAGUGGCAACACUCCCUUAAGAGCAAGAACUGCAUAAAUCUUAGGUUUAAAAUCAUAUGUUGAUGCUCAUGUGUAGUCUAUAUUAGUGGUAUUUGAUUGCUUGCACUUAUCUUGUUCUCCUGACGAUAAGUUUUCAUUCAAUUAAGAUCCCACAUCUUCUAGAGCUUGGUGUCAAUGCAGUGGAGCUGCUGCCCGUGUUUGAAUUUGAUGAAUUUGAGUUUCAGAGGCGCCCAAAUCCCAGAGAUCACAUGGUAAAAUAAAACUUAUUAAAAUUUGAGCCUUUUCUUUGCAAUUUCUGCAUUUUGUUGUGAAACCUUGAAAUGCUUUGCUUUUUGGUUUUUCCUUCUUUCCCAUUAUUUAUGUUAUUUUUAGGUCUCUAAACAAAGUUCAUAUUUGAAUUAAUGAAUUGUUACUUUUCUGAUUUUAAACAAAGUUCUGUAUAUUUGAAUUAAUGAAUUUUUUGGAGAGUUCCAUAUACAACGUUUUCCUGUUUUCAUACCACUAUUUCUAAGCAGAUUCAAGAUAACUUGCCCUUAGACAUGUUAAAUCAAAAUUCAAUAUUAUGACAGAGUACUUUUGCGGCUGAGCUUCCCUAUUUCCUGUGUUUUUGUGCUCUAAUUUGAUGUACUGAAUUUAAUGUGAACUAUUAUUUCUUUUCUCUUUCCUGCCUUUUCUCUAAGAUCAAUACAUGGGGCUAUUCAACAAUAAAUUUCUUUGCUCCUAUGAAUCGGUAUGCUAGUAGAGGUGGUGGACCUCGUAAUGCAUCUCGGGAGUUCAAGGAAAUGGUUAAAGCCUUGCAUGGUGCCGGAAUUGAGGUAAUAAAUUGUUAUCUGGUCAUCAAUUUAAGACCACAUUCUUCAAAGUUGGGAGCAAUGAUUUCAUUCUUGUUCUGAUAUGGCAAGUCUGUGAUGUAUGCACACCAGCAUACAUGUACACGAAGCCUGAGUAGUUAUUGAAGCAAUUUUCUGAAGCUUUUUACUGUAUACAGGUUAUUUUGGAUGUAGUCUUUAACCAUACAAAUGAGGCUGAUGAUAAAAAUCCUUUUACAACUUCAUUUCGCGGAAUCGAUAAUAAGGUGAUUUACUCUUUGUUUUGCAGUUUCUUGCUGUUAGGGUUGUAAUGGACUAACAACAAUUUCUAAUGUUAUAGGCUUUUGAAUCGUUCAGGCCUGAGAAACACCCAUUUGAGUACAUUUAGUCAUUGGUUGAUUGGUUUUGAAUAUUUUAACAAUUGCAAUGUUGGGAGCACCUUCACUUUUGUGGAGUCUUUCUGGGUUUUAGUGUAAUUUUCUUUUAGUCUUGUGGAAUGCAGCCUGAUUUGUCUUCAAACUUGUCAGCCUUGUAAUAUUUUGCUCAAGAAGGAUGAGAACCAACUAUGUUGCAUCUACAUCGAGAAUUUAAUUAUUGUAUACGUCAUUAGUCUGAUCUUUUGUAGGAGCUACCCGUAAUAACGAACUUGCAAAAUGAAUCUGUUUAUCAUAAAGAGAUUUAUGAUUUCAUUACGAGCCUUUAGUGAAUGCUCUGAAGUAUCUGAUUGGUGGUUAUACCAAAAGUUCAUUAUAUGCACAUCUAAAUGUUUCUCUAUAUAGCAUUUCAUGCAUUAUUAUUCAGCUAUUUCUUCAUUUCUCAGUGACAUGUCUUGUUAUCCAUUUACAGGUUUAUUACAUGGUUGACCUCAGCAAUAAUGGCCAGUUGCUGAAUUUCUCUGGAUGUGGUAUAAACUUUGUGCUCAAUUACUUUUUAUUCCCUUUUCUGUUACUUUUAUUCCUAGGUGAAUUUUGGCUCUCUUCUUAUUGCAAGAGGACUGUUUAGAGAACCCGUUUUUUAUGCCUCCAUUACCGGUCAACAUUUCUUCAUUUAUGAUAUAUCACAAGAGUAGUGGAUACUCAAACAUGACAGUUUAAGACUAAGAAGCUAGCAAUUUGUUUCGUGUUCAAUGAGAAUUCUGGGAGAUCCCAUGAUGAUCAACUUUUUGAAACAUAGCAGGGAGAAAGAAAAAUGUUGCUGUUUGUGAUAGUGGCAGUGGCAGACUAGUGAGUAGGCAGCCAAGAUGAUAGCUGCUGGCUGUAGUUCGUGGAAAAUUUAUUACCUGAUUCUGGGUGGACUUCUUGAAGUUCUCUCAUUGGCUAAAUGGGGUUUUGCAGAGGGUUCAGAACUCUUUAUCUUUUACAAAUUUGGAGAAAAGCAUAAGUUGACUUAAAAGUCACCUCUGCUUCUGCUUCCUUCCAAUAUUGAAAAUUGAAGCUCUUAUUUUUUUUUCUUUUUCCCAGUGCAGUUUGAAACAGGGUUAACAGGGAGAAGACUGUCUUUUUUCUCCCAUAUGCUGCAAUAUUUUCCUUGUAUUUGAAGGCCCUAUAGAUUCUCAUAUUGAGGACCGAUGACUAUUUUAGUACUAGAACUGACAAGAUCAUCUGAACUUUUUUUGUAAAAGUUACAGAAAAUUUUCAAUUCCUUUGGGCCAUCCAAAUCCUGUUUGGUUUUAUAAUGCAGCAUGCGGACAUGACAUUUUCUUGAAAGGUGAUAUGGUUAAGAUAAGUACAGGGUUAUUAGGACUUUUGGUAUUUCUUGCUGGUUUGGAUGAAAUCAGGAAUAAGCUCACAUGAUUGUUAAGCUCAAAGUAACAAGCAAGCAAAUGCCUUUUCAUUAUGUUUUUUCUGUGAAGAAUUUUGAAAUUAUUGCAUGCAUCUAUGGCUCUUUCACUUGCAGUUUCUUGUUUCUGUCCAGGGAACACAUUAAACUGUAAUCAUCCUGUGGUCAUGGAGCUCAUCCUUGACAGCUUAAGACACUGGUAUGUGCUAAAUUAGAAUGAAAAAAAUCCUCUUGUCUUUGUGACAUUUGAAUUAAAAAAUUUCAUAUAAUAAUUUAGAAGUUUUCUAUUGUUUGGGUAUUGCUCCAAACAAACUUUUCAACUUGAUCUUAUAGCCAAAUGAUAUUGCCUCUUAGGUUUAAGUCAACCUAUAGUCUUUGGUGAUCCUUAACUUCGGCGAUUUAGGAUUGUGUAUGUUUUGUUACAUCUGUGCCUGUGCAUAUGUGUAUAAUUUACUCAUCCUUCUCUUUUACUGAAUGCAGGGUCAUUGAAUAUCAUGUGGAUGGAUUUAGAUUUGACCUUGCCAGUGUACUUUGCCGAGGAACAGAUGGUUCUCCACUUGACGCUCCCCCAAUUAUUAGGGUGAGAUAUUUUCACAUAUGAUAUUAUAUUUGUCAAAAUAGUGCAGUUACAUCAUGUAACUUACAUGCAUUACCGAUGUCUAUCAAUUAAAAGAAACAGAGAACACAAUCAGAAGUGAAUUGAUAUUCUGUCAAUUCACUUAGAAGACCAGAAAUUGGAAUGUUACAUUGCAGAAGAAGAAUGCUUUUUAAUUGGAAAAGGCCAGACCUUUCCUUAAGACUGUGAUAGGUUCUUAACAAGCAUUCAAAGUUUAACUAAAAAAUUAUUUCUUCCAAUUUGGAUCUAUAUAAAUUCUUUCUGUGUGUGUGAUCAUACUGCAAAUGGGCACACACAAUCAAUAAGCUGUAUCCCCUUCAUGUGAUAUGUAGUAACUUUCUGCUGUAUCCUUUACUAGCAUGCCUUCACAAUGAUGUCCGUGCUUCUCUACCUGGAAGAACUAUUUCAUGCUGUUGUAUUAGAAGUUAAAAAAAUAUUCUAAAUCUUGUAGAAUGCUGAAGUGUUGUUUAGUUGCCUAGAACUACAUAUGGGAUGCUUAUUUUGUUCCAGGCAAAAUAGAGCCUCCAUACGCGAAUGAAUUCAUGUGGUCUUUGGCAUAUAUAGUCACAAUAGUGAAUUUUAUGCAAUGACUUGUUAUUGUUUACUUAACCAGGCAAUUGCAAAAGAUUCCAUCCUGUCAAGAUGUAAAAUUAUUGCAGAGCCUUGGGAUUGUGGAGGCCUUUAUCUGGUUGGAAAUUUUCCAAAUUGGGACAGGUAACUUUUGUUUAUUAUUUUUUGUGAAUCUUUGGAUAAUAAAGGCAUUUACUUUAAGAUGCAUUAUCAAAUAGAUAAACACAAUCACAGAGAUAUUUUGCUCUUCUUUUUAUCAUUUUUACAUUUUGUAAUGCUUUUGGAAUCUGGUUCUGCCUCACCCAUUUUUUUUUUUUAUUCAGAUGGGCUGAAUGGAAUGGCAAGUACCGUGAUGACAUAAGAAAAUUUAUUAAGGUGAUGCCAGAGGGAAAGCGAACUGACUUUGAUUUCUGCAUAACUUAUUAACAUUAAGGAUAGCUUAACAAGCACAGGAUAUAGGAACCAGCAAGAUAGCAACUCAAACUUUAACUGAAAGUGAUGAAUGAAUGUGUCUUAUUCUGAAAUGGUUUGAUAUGCUUGAAAAGGUUUAAAAUGGAUUUGAGAUGAUUGAUGAUUUUGAUGGAAUUACUAGGUAUUAUUAGAAACUAUUUUAGGAAUUACUAGGUAUUGCUUGAAACUAUUUUAUAACACCAAUGUUCUAAAACUUCAAUGCUUGCAAUCACAUUCUUGUAGUUUUGUCUCUUCUACUGAAUUUUGUCAUUUUUUUUGUUUAUCCUUCAAUACUUGUCUCUUCUUUAGCCUUCAUUUUUCUUUUUAACUUCCUGUUCUUUUAUCACUGCAUGAAUGCGGUUUACUCUUCCUUUAUGCUUCUGUUAGAUGACGAUGUAGUGUGCUGCUGUCUUCCAUGCAACAUGAUUAUGUUUCUUAAUGGGAGAAACAAAAUGUUCUUGUAGUUUACUUGUGAACAUUUCUGUUUGUCAGUUCGUUUUCCUUUAUAAUUUUUGCAUAUUAUAGGGUGAUUCUGGUAUGAAAGGAAGUUUCGCCACCCGGGUUGCUGGAUCUGCUGACCUUUACAGAGUAAGCAUUUUAAUGUCAUAAAGAUAAUGAUCGUUACAAUAUCUGCAACUUUCAUGCAUUUAUAUUAUUUUACCUAGAAUAGUGUAUCAUUGCAUAUUUAAGAUUGCCUCAUGUUAACAGCAACUCAUAUUUUUAUUUAUGCUGCAGGCUAAUAAGCGCAAGCCUUGUCAUAGUGUUAAUUUUGUUAUUGCACACGAUGGAUUCACGCUGCGUGAUCUUGUUUCAUACAAUUUCAAGGUAAGUGAAGCAUCAAUUUGAUUAAGUGAAUCAUUCAAUGUCCAGUUUUUUCUCAUUUUCAUCGGUUUUGUAGCACAAUGAUGCUAAUGGAGAAGGUGGAAAUGAUGGAUGCAAUGACAAUUUUAGCUGGAAUUGUGGAUUUGAAGGUAGAGUUGAAAAUCAGCUUGUGUCAGGAUUUUUCCUUGAAUCAUUUCUAGCUUUGGAGUGUUAAAUCUUGUAGCAAUCAAAUAGUGUUUAUGUAGGUGGUAAAUCAUAGUCAUUACCUUGUAUGCAUGCUAAAGUAAAGGGAAAGUGGGGGCAGGGUCUAAUAUGCUGUUUUUAUUCAUGGAAACUUAUUGGAUUUUUUUGGCUUUGUCAAGUUGCUUCACUAUAUAAUGAUGCAUUUAUUUUAGCCUCCAAUUUGGAUGUGUCGUUGAUCUUGAGAUUAACUGUGUGAAAUCUCAAGAGUCCAAUAUAUUCUUUCUUUUUUUUGGUUCAUUUGCUGGAAGAGAAUCUAUUUCAGAUGUAUUUAUUUCCUUUCUUUAGGUGUUAAUUUAUCUUUAUAUAUUGGGCAGGAGAAACUGAUGAUCAUAAUAUUAAAGCUUUGCGCUUCAGGCAGAUGAAAAACUUCCAUUUAGCAUUAAUGAUAUCUCAGGUACAGUAUGUUCGUGUGUCAUGCUGGUGGCACCUUAUUCCUUACCCUGUAGAGAACAGGCAUACAAAAAAUGCCUUGGAAACUUUUUUCAGUUGGAUAAAUGGUUUCCAAUUCACAUGUGAUUUCAUGUGUCCUGCUUUUCUACUAGGUUUCUAUGCAUCUUUCAUAUCCUCUGUUAUUUUCUGCAAGGUUUUUUUGUCCUUUUAUUUCCACUUCUGUCUUUUUCCCAAUGAAUAAUUCUUAGCAUUCGUAGCUUAUCCAUCACUACUUAAGAAGUUAAGAUAUCAGGAGUUUGUUUUAAAGUAUGAUUAUGCACCAGGGAACACCAAUGAUGCUUAUGGGGGACGAAUAUGGACACACUCGCUAUGGAAAUAACAACAGUUAUGGGCAUGACACCUCUAUUAACAAUUUCCAGUGGGGGCUCGUAAGUUUUUGUAUACAAUUCUUGCCCUUUGACAGCUUCAAUCCAGUAAAUGUCUGAGUGAAAAUCCUUUGUUAAGGCAGUUGGAUGCAGAAAAGAGUAGUCACUUCAGGUUCUUCUCAGAGGUCAUAAAGUUUCGACAGACACAUGGAGUAUUUACUCAUGACAAUUUUCUCAGCGAAGUAAUUUGCUUUUCACCUGCGACUUAAUAGACAUGCAUUUAUUUUGAAAUUACGAUAUAUUUUAACAAAUUAACACCUAUGAAAGAGCUCUCAAACACACUUUUCUGUGCAUGUUAUGCAGAAUGAUGUGACUUGGCAUGAGAACAACUGGGAGAAUCACGAAAGCAAAUUUCUUGCAUUUACGUAAGAAAUUAUACUUGUCUUCCAGCUGAAUUGUUCAUCUUGCAUCUACUGUUUUUUGUUGUAGUACCUUGCUUUGCAUCAUCAAAAUGCUUGUUACGCAGGCUUCAUGACCAAAACGGAGGAGAUAUCUAUUUGGCUUUCAAUGCUCAUGACUAUAUUGUUAAAGUUUCAAUACCCCCACCACCACCCAAGAGGCGCUGGCUUCGUGUGGUUAGUGUCUCUUCUGUUUCUGACACAUGCCAAUGUUCUUGCUGCUACCUGUCGCUGUUUAACUACAUCCUUUGCAACUCUUUUGCCUUUUUGGUGCAACUGUAUCUGUGCAUGCUAUUCGUCUGCUGGAGCACUCAAACUGCACAUUUCAAUGGUGCUAAAGCAAUUUUAUAAUAGGCUUAGAUCUCCAAAACCCAACUGAUUUUUGGCAUGAGAUCUGACGUUUGGAAUCUCAUGGAAAAAACUUGACAAAGUUGAUAAUUAUUCUGUUGGCAUCCAACAGGAGGAUUGUUCUCGAGAUUGGAUUUAUAUAAAGAUCCCUCAACUUCUGCUAUUAAUUUCCCAAGGCAGCAAGUUUACUUUCCUGCCUUUUUUUUUGUAGUCAUAUAGAAGAUUCAUAUUGUGAGAAUAAGUACGACACACGAGUAUGACUCCUAUACUGCACUCUUUCCCACUCUUUGAACCAUGGCUUCUUACAAGAGAUGUAUUAUUGCUUCACUUUUCUGGAAGCUGAUAUAUCCCUUGCUCAAUUUACGUUGACGGUGUUAGACAUGAAGUUAUAACACGAAGUUAUUUAACGGUGAAAAACAGGCUGCGAAAAUCAGUCACAUCAUUAUGUUGAUUAUACUUUGCAGUUGUAUUUUUCAAAAUUGUAGCAUAUCAAUCAGUUCCAUCUGAAUCAUAUGUACAAAUUCGUUGUUCAAAUGCAGGUAGACACCAAUUUUGAAUCUCCGGAUGACUUUGUUCCUCAAGGUCUCCCAGGCAUUGGAAGCACCUAUAAUGUGGCCCCACACUCUUCAAUUCUUCUUGAAGCUAAAAACUGACAGAACCUGAAGCUGAUCGCCGAUGAAUAUUCUGAAUGACCUGCCUGAUCUGGAGAAUCGCAAAAUCUUCCCUGGGAAAUGCUCAGAUUCCUGGCAUCAGGUUAUGGUUACAGUACUUGAUGUAGAUGUCACUUUACCCUGGAUGAAUGCAAUCAAAGAGAUUUGAGAGAGCAUGGAGGUUUAUCAUUGCUACAAUGUGACUGAUGUCCGCUCAUUCCUUUGUUGCAUCAACUAAUAAAAAAUACUUCAACUUGAGCAACAAGUAGAAUAUGCCCUAUUCGAUGUAGGUGCUGCUGUGUGUAUGUUAUGCAUGAGCUGUGUAAUACUGAGAUGAACUCUGGGGUCCUACAGUUGGUAAUUCCUAAAUAGAGUGGAAAGAAUGUCGAAAGAUUACUAAAAAAUAAAAAAUUGAUGGUAAUAAUUACGAUGACAAUGUUAAUUAUUAGUAUUUCUUUGGCUUUCUCCCAAUUGAUUUCGUGCUGCUGCCCAUUAGACACCCACCAGCAGCGGCAAACGCUGGCUGGCAACUGAUGUUCACUAAUACCUACUUUGUCUUUUUUAAUGGUUUUGUUUCAGUAGAAUGCCAAAAAUGACAAUCUGCCUGACAGAUUAAUAAUUUUGAAGCAUGUGCACAGCGGUCUUAAUCAUGGGGUCUGUGUGAAGAACAGAUCUUGUCAUGAGCAGGUGCAUGAAUCGUGAAGCCUCAAAAGUACAAUCUGGCAGUGACCCACACAAAUUGUGACAGGCAGGCAGACAGACAGGACAAUCCAAUUAUCAAUGAUGCGUCCUCUCUUUCCUCGAGCAAAAAAUCUUUGUUAUUGUACACACCCUCGAAGAAACAGAACCAUUCUUCCGUCCUGGCUAGCACGCGGUGAUAUUACCUCUUCUAUUCUACCACCCGGAAAACAGCUGCCUCGCUUCGUAUCAUUUAGUCCAGUUUGGUAGGUGGUCGACUUGUCGCUGUAUAUCGUCCUUUCAAGCCCCCUUAGAUUAUAGUCCUGAACUAGAAUUAACUUGACAUCCUCAGUGAAUCGAAAAGUUGUCCGAGUGUUGGGAGAUGCCAUGCUCUGACAAGGUCCAUGUCCCAUUGAUCGGUGGACAAGUCUGGGCCAAUCGGAUCAUCAAUCAAAUCAUGGUACAGGCACCCUGUGUCUAUGGUUUCUCUUCCACAAUCUGCCAAUUUUAUGUUAUAUCCAAUUUAUCUCAUCUCAGUGACUUUGAUUCCUUCUGCGAAUAACCACUGGUUUUGAUUUAACGUGAGGAUCUCUAUCUAAAUCACAUGAUUAAAAGAGUUGAAGGCAUCAGAUCUAAGCCUAGAGCGGGGUUGACUUUUUUGUUGUUUUUACCGAAAGACCAACCCAAACCCGUUUGGUUACGCAAAAAUGACCGGAAUCCAUGCAUGUCUCUUCGAGAUAAAACUCGAACACUAAUUUUUUUUAUUAUUUUAGAAACUUCAUGGUCAAACACUCUUUUCAAUCGCGGCUAUAAUAUACGACCAUGACAAACAAAUAUGAAAAUAUCAAAUAUGUAACUCGAAUAGAUUUAUUACUCGUUGACUGUGAAAGUCUUAAAAAAGUGCCCUAUCGCUAACAUUUAGCUGUAAUUAGUUUUUCUAGAGGUGACCAAGUUAACAAUUGAUAAUUGUUUAUUUAUUUAUUUAUUUUGAUUUUCAAUUUUAUUCUUUUAAUUAUAGUUUUUUAUGUUAUAGAUUCUUUUCUUUAUUUUCAUUACUUCGCGUUUAAUUUGUUGGGGAUUAAACUUUGUAGUUUUUUAUUUGUAAUACUUCUGAUCCAAUAACAUAAAUCACGAGUUUUAAGAAUUGAUAUGGGUAUGAAUUUUUUUUUUCUUUCUUAUUUUUUUUUAUAGUUUUAUCAUUAUGCAAUAUGUUUUUUAAAAAGAUUGAUUUUAUGGUUAUUUUUAAUUUUUUUUCUAUCGGUUUAUCUCGAUUUCAUGGCUCGAGCCCCGAGUUACCUAAGCCUUUUUGAAAUUGAGGUUUUCUUUUUAAAAAAAUAUUUUUUUUUGUGUUUAAUUUUUGAAGAUUUUUUUUAUUUUAUACAGAUAAGAUUUAUUUUAUAAAAAAUAUUUAUUUUGAAAUAAUAUAUAUGAUAUGUUAGGAUUUUCAUAGUAUUUUUUCUUUUAUUUUAUUCACUCACUUUCAUGUGUGUUUCUAUUUCUAUUAUCUUUUAUUAAUUUUAAUAAACAAAUUUAGUGAACACAAAUGGAUAAAUAUCUUAUUUUGCGAGAUUAAAUAUUUUGAUCUAUAUUUAUCUUUUAAUUUUUUUAGUUUUUUCUUUUAAGUAUUGUUAAUAAUUUUUUUUAUUUAUUUAUAUUAAUUAUUAUUGAUUUUUUUAACUAGGUGCUCUUUUCAAUAUACACUUUUAAUUUUUUAUAUAAAAAAACAUAUUAAAAUAACCUAUCUGUCUAGAUUUUUUUUAUAAAAAAAUUACGGGCUGCCGGCAUGUAAAAUAUCUAGUUUGUUAGGUUGUCAGCCAAAAAGAAAGGUGGGUCCGAGAUAAUAUAUAAAUGUCACGGAGUUAUCCUUGAAUGAUAUCUAUUGACAAGCUAAACUAAUAAUUGGCAAGCAAAUGGUCUCAUGGCCAACCCAUAUUAAUUGGAAAGAAUCAAUAACCCAAGUGGCAGUGGGGUGGCUAAUUAACGCCGUGAAUUGAACUUUUCAAGCCAUCAAAGUGGGUUUUUUUCUUCCUUUCCUGAUAUAGCCUCCAAGAGUAGUUGAAAUUUGUUCUGUUGGAACUUGUCAAUUCUCACAUGAAAUACGGGGCACUGGAGGUCCUAAUUGGACAUUAAUUCACGUUUUCUAGGGUAAGAGGCAGCAGUUUUUCUAUUUCUUUCUCGUUGUUUCCCCCCGUAAAACUCCAUUUCCGUCCUUGUUUUCGAAGGGCCUGCGUUUUUUUAAUGCAAAAUGUAACUCAGAUUAGACAAGUUAAAUUUAGUCGAGUUAGUUAACCCUUGGAUACUUCAAAUAAAUAGCUUAAAAUACUAAAAUGAUAAUAAUUUGGCAUAGAAUCUCUCACACACAAUAAAUAAUCCAUGAGCAGAUUGAUUAUUUAUUUAUUUAUUUAUUUUUUCUACGGACAACUGGACUUGUGACCCUCUAACGACUAAAAAGAACCUGCAGCUGGGAAUAGAGUAGAAAAAUGAACCAGCAACGUGCUCGUCAUAACGGUUAGCAGAAUUUUUGUUCAUAAUUAAUUACAAGUGCAUCGAUCAUUGGUUGGCCUGUUCUCCUCCUUCUGUUUUCCUUUACCAAAUCAACAACCCAAUCCAUCUACUCCCCGGACCGAACAAGUAAAACUCUCCACCAUCUCCUCUCCCCAAGCUUGAAAUCAACGCGUUUUUCGAAUCAUCAAAAAAUUGGAAGCACAUCCGACGGCUCUCGUUAUCCAUUAUAGCCACGCGUACCUCCUUGAUCCUCUCCCACUUCCAAACAUACAAUUUCCGCCUCUCUAAUUAUAAUACACCAAACAGGUACUAAGCUGUAAUUUCACAAAUUCAAAGGAAACAAACAGGAAACUGCCCUCGCCUCCUAAACCGACUAAAAACCUUAAACCUUCACCUUCCCUUUCUGUAUAAAUACAACACCCUCUCUCUCUCUCUCUCUCUCAUCAAUCCCUUUAUCAUCUCCUACCUGUAUAUUUUCUUGUCUUCUCUCCUCUCCUCUCCAUCCUUUCCUUCACAACUUACAACAACAAUGGCUUACAAAAUCUGGGCGCCUUUGAUGCUUCUGGCUCUCUUUGCCGGUUCAGCUUUGGCUCAGGCACCAGGAGCUGCACCAACAGCUUCACCAGCUACAUCACCAUCUCCUGCACCCGCUGCUCCUACAACUCCACCCCCCGCUCCAACCCCCUCUCCAUCAGUCUCUGCUCCAACCCCCUCUACUUCUCCGGCCCCCUCUACUGCUCCAUCCACUCCUCCUCCUUCAUCUCCAGCCAGCUCACCACCUUCUCCCUCUACCCCUGCCCCCUCCGUAUCCAUUCCUCCAAGCGCCGCUUCCCCUCCAUCUCCAAGCGCCGCCGGCUUGAACAAAGCCACCGUGGCUGGUGCUUUGAUUGGAGUCGCUGGUGUGUGGUCUUUGUUGCUGUAGAUCUGAUCAUCGGAUGUUGAUUGUUACAAUUAUAUUUAUGUUUCACUUUAGUCGGGGAUUAUUAUUGUUAUUAUUUCGAGUCGUUUUGUAAUUUUGUUUAUGGACGGUGAUGGUGACUCUUUUGGUUUAUCUUGACGGUUGAUAUUUGAUUAUUAUUGUUGUUGUUAUCAUUGUUCUUUUUUAUGAUUAAUUAAUGAUUGGUCGUCAUGUAAUCAAUCGUUUAUUUUCAAUAAUUUCUUAUUUAUCUCCUCAUAUAUCGUGAUGCUCUGUACUUAACUUGAUCUGGAUUUCAAAGGAGAGAGCGAUCCAUCGAUCGUUCAUAUCCUCGUGUGAGAGAGUGUGGGAGGGAGAGUGAUGGUGUUUUUAUUGUUUAAUUUUUUAUGUUUAGAUGAUAGCAGAAAAGUUGGGGAAAAGUAAAAUAGGGUUUCAUGUUAGGCCUGUCAUGCACGUGGCAACAGCUGUAAAUUGAAAUCUUAGGGUUUUUUACAUAAGCCCACGUGGUUUGUCAUAUGACACGCGAGAGAGACCAACUGCAACAACACUGACAUGUGGAUGUUAUAUCUCUAGUCUACUUGGUUGCUGUCACCUGACACGCGAGAGAGAUCAACUGCAACACCACUGACCUGUUACUUUAUUUUGAGCACGAAGGUAAAUGCGUUACUAGCUGUUUAAAGUUUUUUUUAUUUAAAAAUAUAUUAAAAUAAUAUUUUUUAAAAAAAUUAUUUUUGAUAUUAUUACGUCCAAAAAAUAAUUUAAAAUAAAAAUAAUUUAUUAAAAAUUAAAAAUUAAAAAUUUUUAAAAAAUAUUUUUACGGUUUCCAUGAGAGGGUUGGGUGGGUCAUGUAAAAAAAGAGAGAAGAAGAUAGCAAACUCUUGGUUACAAAGACUUGGAGCAGCUCACGAAAAAUGAUGUGUGUGUAUAAUUCAACAGCAACAUGUGCAAGGCCUGAUGAUGGUGCAGAGCACACCAUGCCAUUGUGGAUUUUGCUACCUUCUCUCCCUGAUCAGUUGUCAAUUUAAAAGAAAGUUUGUGCACAGUUCUCUAUCACAAAGAGAAGAGAGUCUGAGUACAAUGUGUCCCCACGUACGACAUAUAAAGCUUUUCUCAAAAGUGGAUUUAGGGCAGGUGACAUGUGGAACCGCAUCACAAGUCCAAGUCUUUUCAUUGGCUAAGUGAUCCUGGUUUUAAUACCAAGACUCAACAGCUAGAAAAAAAAUAGAACAACUUUAUUAUCUCAUAAAAGAAUUUCUUUACGACUAAAAGCUUGAAUGCAUGAUAUACAAGUCAGUUUAGGAAUUACCUCAACAAUUAAUCAUUUUUUUUAAAACUUUUUUGUCACAAUAUAUGAUACUAAAAUCCUAAUAUAUGCUUAAUCCUAAACUAAUAUAAGAUUAAUCCUAUAAUAAAAAACACUAAAAUAAUAAAUGCCUGAUCCUAAACUUGCACGAUUUUUGUUUUGGUUCUAAAAUUUAAUUUUGUCAAUUUUUAGUUCCUAAAUAGAAGGAAGAGAGUGGCUCGCCAGAAAAUUAUAAUAGAGAAAAAUUAUAUGGUUGUCCCAACUCCGCCAUCCAAAAUGGUCAAGUUUAGUGUUAAAAUAUUCUAUUGAACGAGAUGUGUUUGAUGAUGGUUGGGUUCUCAUGUUACCGGAAAAAUAGAUUGGGGCUUUGGAAGAUUUACGGUCUCGGUUUGAUUUUUUAGUUUUUACUGAUUUUUCACUAAUUUAAGGACACAAACUAGUUUAUUGAAGUAUUUUUGGGUGUUUAUAUAGUGUUUUCAGGAGAAAAAUUGGACUAUAAGUGCCAUGACAUCCCAAAAAAUUAGUCUAUAUUUAGAGACGAACCUGCAAUAUAGACUAUAAGUGUCAUGACACCUCCAGUAUCAAGUCUAAUUUUCAUAACUUGCAUCACCAAUAAAUUUUAGUCACAUGCCCCUUCAUUUCAACAAAGAGACAAGCUUUUUUUUGUUACAUUAAAUAAAUCUAAUAGGAAGCCUAUUAACAAAAACUUUGGAGUUUUUUUUUGUUACAUUAAAUAAAUCUAAUAGGAAGCCUAUUAAUAAAAACUUUGGAGUUGAAAUAUUUUUAAAUAAAAUAAAAAUAAAUGCUCAAUCCACAAACUAUCAAAUAUAAAAAAUAAAAAAAGUAUAGGGUAUAUAAUUUGGGUCAAGUUGAUUAAGUUUCAAAAAUCUUAAUUAAUGAUAUUAAUUUCUUAGGUUUUUUACUCAUUAUCAUCAUUUUUUAACAGCCCUGCUUUAAAUGCCCAAUCACUUUGCAAGUAUGAGCAGUCUUUCUCAAAAGAAUCACUAAAAAUUUCCCUGCGACUGUUAUUCAUUUUGUUCCACAGAAUUUGCAUUCAAUGGAAUCUUGCAUGCAGACCCAGGAGACAGUUGGAUGCUAUAAGAUGUGGGACAUGAAGCGUCUGCUGUCCAAAUGUGGUUAUAGCCCUAAGAAGAGGCAAGACCAGUAACAUUUCACCUACAAGCAGCCUAUGUCAUUCUGCGAAAUCUUUGAGUUCUCCUGGUAGCUAUUUUGCAAAAAGAUAGAUCCCCGAUCAUAUACUCCCCCACCUCCAAGCUCCCACGAUGAGAUCUGUUGUAGCAUACACAACAUCUAUUCCAUCAAAAAAUAAAGAGCAGGCAUCCAACCUGCAGUAUCACUUGACAAUAGAAUAGAACACGCCAAUUGGAUAUUAGAGAAAGCAUGCCGAAGAAAUCAUAUAAUUGCUUUAUGGUCUUCAGGACCAAAUUUAAGAAGUUUUACCCACAAAGAUGAAGCGAAGCACAUUAAACAACUCGCCCGAAGUCAUUGGCUGUAUGUGCUUGCACCUUGUCAGAUUCCAACUCACCCGAAGUACCAUCAGAUUGUGAACCAUCUUCUUCUCGAUGUUUCACAAACUGUCUACUGCAAUAAAUACAGAAGGAAGUACAUUAAUCAGAAUUCUUUGAGACAGAAAUACUGUAACAUAAUCAUAAUUCUGCCCUACCUUGUCAGAGAAAGUAGAAAGGGCCUCUUCAGCUUCUUUUCUAGUUUUGAAUGCAACAAGUCCGUAGCCGGUGGACCUCCUAGGAUUAUCCUGAAAUAUAACUUCAGCAGAAACAACAUCAGCACCUUCUGCAAUAAAGAGCUCCUUAAGAUCUUUUGACUUUGCUUCAAAUGGCAAAUUCGCUAAAAACAAGUUGAAUGUUGGCCCUGGCAUGAGUGGCGGAGGUGGUGAAGGUUUUUUCUUUUUUGUUGUGCAUAAUUCAUCCUCAAAGUACGGCCCUCAAAUUCCUAAAAGGCAUUUGUAAGAAGACUAAAUGUUUUUUAGUUCGUAAAAGAAAAGGGCAAGACAAACACUAAUGCACGUUAAGAUACGAACGAAAUCAACGAAAAAGAAAAGAAAAGCAAAGUCCAGAGAUUUUAUGAUUCUUGUUAAUGGGUUUUCGAAGAGCAAAAGGCUAGCAUAAAGUGGAUUAGGGUACAUAUAUAUCCAAGUGCCAUAUUAAAAUCGGUUAAUACUUGAUAAUUAUAAGUCUCAAUCUGAUUUAUCUCUCCUCUCUAUCCAACAAGGUAUGCAUUACCACAAGGAUUCCGUAUUCCGAAGAAGGGAAGAAUCGAAGAUGAUGUGCUUACAUAAGAUUCGAGAUUAUUAUGAGCAGCAUCUGCCUCUUCAGGGGAGCCCAUUGUGACAAACGCCAAACCCCUGUUUCUGGUUUUGCUGUACAUUAGCAAAAAUAAGUAGGUUUAAAUUACUAUUCACCAAUAUUCAUAAUAUUAUUUAUUAUAAUAAUAUAAUGAUAAAAUUGCUCAUCAGCCAUAAAACCUUUAAAAUAAAUAUAAAAAAAAUAAGGUUAGUCUUUGGUUUGGGAUCAGGAUCAUCGGUUUCAAAGGUUAAUGCAAGUUAAAUUUUUUUUGAGUUUUUUUUUAAAAUUAAUUCAUUUCAAUUUCAUCCUUUAACAUUUGAUUUAUUUAGAAUUGGUCUUUCCAUCUUUUUUUCCUUUCUUUUCUAAUGGUUAUCUCGAUCAUGUGGCAAUGAUCACGAGGUUUCUAGGUUAACCUGAGUUAUCUCGGUUUUUUCUUGUAUGUUUGAUUUGAUUUAUUAGGAAUUGAUUUUGAACUUUUUUUUCAUGUGUUUCUUUCUAUAAAAUUAUCAUAAUUUUAUGUCGAUGGUUGUGAAAUUUGCAAGUUAAUCCGGUUUAACUAGGUGUAACCCUUUAAUAUUAGUUUUAAAUUAUUAAUUUGGAAAAUCACGCUUCGAUGGUAAAGGACUCCAAUUCACUUUCUGAUUUUACCAGCUCGGAGGUGAACAUCAUAGAUCAAAAUAGGUCACCAUACUAUUCAGUUGCAACCAUUUUUGUUAAGAUUAAUGAAUUAUGGUAUUUUACCAUUAAUAUUACUCUUCUCUAAAUUAAUUAACUUAAUUAUAUAUAAAAAAGUAAUUUUACCUAAUUUACUAAGAGAUUAAUGAUCUAAUUACCACCCGCAUUCGAAGGCGAGGGAUGGAGGGAAGCGAAGGGAUUAAAGUACCGGAAUAGAAUUUUGAGGGGUACACAUUAGAAAAAAAAGAGAAACUUAAUUAUGAACCAUGAUCACAUACUUAAUCUAUAAUCUCAUAUUACUACUCGUUCGUAACGAUAAACAGUAAUAAUCCUGAAUACAAGCAGAACUUCAGGAAAAGCAAGAACCAAAAAAAAAAAGAGGGAUCUAGCAGAGCACUGCCUCUAUCCUGGCAAUUCAUGAGAAAACCACCACAAAAACGGCAACAAAAGUACCGGCUAAAGCCACAAAUGGGGAAAUAUUGAUCCCUAAGGAUGAAUCGGGUACGUUGUUGGAUGAAGGCUUGUAAUUGGUGACGUUACUACCGGCCGGAGAAGUGGUAGUGCCAUCAGAAGAUGGAGUUCCGGAGGAGGGACUUGUGCUCGAUCCUGCUGCUGCAACAGUGACUGCAACCUUCAUGCCACUCCCACAGUGGCCAGGAACACCACAAAUGAAAUAAUGAGUUCCGGCAGUCUUGAGGGCUAUUGUGGUAGCACCACUGCUAUCUGAAGUGAUUGCAUUGCCUGUAGUGCAUGUGCUGUAGUCACUGGCUCUCACUUCAUCUACCGUGUGGCCUCCUCCGUAGUUAAACACUAGAUUAUAUAUAUAAACAGAAACCUGAUUAGUAAAUCAAGUACUAAUCUUGAUCAGUAACGUGUACUGAGAGAAAGGGACUCACCAAGGCUGUCGCCAACUGAAAAGGUCUUGCCACUAGUCCAGGUGCUAUAAUCCAUACCAAUUGCCCAGCCUGAACUAUCUCCUACAGUGUGAUCUUUAGCCAAAAUGGGCACCACCGUGCACAAGACUACUAGGAUUGCACAAGGAACUGAUCUUGAAAUUAAACCGGCCAUUUUCCGGGAGAAAAGAAGAGAAGAGAAGAAGGUAUUUGGGUUGCUUUUAGGAUCGUCGUUGGGGGUGUUAUAUAGUGGAAUGAGUAAAUAUGGAGUGAGUAUAAUUAGGUCCACUUGAUUCCACAAAGCUCUUAGAAUGUGAAAGGGACUAAUUUCAUGAAGAUGACUUAACCCAUACUCCAUACCUAAUGCAAGGGAAAAGUGGGUUCACUUGAAGAUGGUUGGUGGGGAAAGAUGCAUCGUUAUGUGACCCCUAACUAAGGAAUGACCAGAGUUCUUCAACGUCAUAAUCCUUUUAUCUUCUUAUGAGCCGAAUGAAUUAAAUUCCAUAAUCAAGUAGACAGCAACAUGUGACUGAUCAUCAUGGAACGCUUAAAGCCUACGUCUACAAGUUCAAACAAAAUAAAAGAUGAGAUGAUAGCUUACAGGGAAUUAUUGGUCUUAUUUUCAAGGUCUGACGCUCCUAAUGGACAAGGCGCUUUUGGUAUCCUAUGCAAUAUGCAUCAGCUUCUUAUUUUUAUUUGUCAUCGAUCAAUUCAAAAGCCAUAUGUCUGCAUCAUAAUUGUUGGAAUGGAGGGGGCUUUUGUUGCUAGGGAAGGAAUGCCUUCUUAGUUCAUGGCUUUGGACUUCGGACAAGGAGCGCAUAGAAUGUUCGUUUAGAAUGGGGUUACCAUUUUUGGAAAAACUACAUUUGAGCCCUCGAACUAUUAUCAUAUAUGUUUAAUCUACAAUCCUCGUCCACUAGAAAAAGUUUGGGUUCAAAGUAGGCCUUUUCAUCCGCUCAAUGUAAACCAUGGAGAGAAAAAGGGACUAAUUGAAAAUAGUAUGUUAGUUGGAGGGUCUGAAUGUAUUAUGUCCAAACAUUCUCUUAUUCCUGUAUCAUCUCUGAGAAAUUCAUCCGAAAAUAAUAAAACAAAAUGGCCUUUUUAAAAUUAAUCUUUCUUGGAUAGCUAAGCUGCCCAUCAAAAUUAAGUUUACAAGAAGCGUAAUUCUUUGUUAAAAGGGUAUAUCGUUUAUUAAUCUUUCUUGGAUAGCUAAGCUACCCAUCUUACAAUUUUAGUUUUUAAGUUGAAUGUAAAUUGUUUAACAUGGCUGUGCAUUUUAGUGAAAGUUUCUUGAGAAUUAAGAAAAGCAGCCAAAUCUCUUACUAGUAAAUUGAUAUUACCCCAGUUUGUCUUAAACAGCAUCAUUUGUCUUUUUCAUGUAAAUCGAUAUUGCUUUUCUGCUAAGAAUGUACUGAAACUUUUUUCAUGUAAAUUCCAUCAUUUAUAUAAUUAUAUCUUCUGAACAUCAUGGAGAAAAACCACCCAGGAUCGGCCUGACAGCGAUGAUUCAUUCACAGGUAAUCUUAAGGAGAACGGGCACUUUCAUAAAAUCUUCACUGAAAAAUCUACACUUGUUUAUCUGCAUAUUAUUUGAAGCCAUGAUCAGAAGACAGCGAUGAUUCAUUCACAGGUAAUGUACGUAUAUUAUUUUAGCAUUAACUUUUGUUGCAAUGUCCAUGUUUAGAUAAAAACCGAGCACCUAACAUGUGCUUAAAAGUCACCCAUUGAUAUGAUUAUCACAAAGGUAUUUAAACUAUCGCAUGAUUACCCAAAACGAAACAACCCCACCUGGCACCCUGUGCAACCAAGCUCAAGAAAAAGGCAUGGUGUACUUUUAGAUGUGGUGGUUUGGUAAGGGUGGCUCCGGGUUUGGUUGGGUUCAUUCAAGUUCUCACCAACUGCUCAUGUGUGUUGUUUCCACAUGAGCCAUUACCAUCUACCCUCUGGUUGCCCCCCCUCCUAAAGUGCACUUGUCCCUUUUCUUCUUCUAGCUCAACCCAUUACCCACCCCACUCCUUUUUUUGCACGAUUUAUUCGCUCUCUCUGUCUUUUCGCAUUUAGCACAUUCUCAUUCCAGCUUUUGCAUCUUGGUGCACGAAGACGAGUUUUUCUCUUCUCUCGAUUCAAACUUGGAUGACAACAGGAAACAAAUCCACUUACUACUUGAACUAACACAUAAAGGUUAAUCUCAUCUCUUUAUAACACCAGGCCCACAUUUUCCAUCAUCAAACAUUUUGUUUCUCGAUUGAUUUCAUUUUACCUUUGCAAUGAAUGAUCCCGUUUUUGGGAACGCAAAAUGCCCUAUUUUACAUCCAGACUGAACAGCUAAGGUAAGCAUAAAGAUCUAAGGACCUGAGGAUUCUCACCUUUAAUCGCGACACCAAACACAUACCAGGUUAGACUUCGAUUACAUUGAUAGAAUUCAAAAUGCCUAAUCAAUUCAAUUUAUCACAUAUUAAUCAAUUCAAUGUUUUUCUAAUCCCAGUGACAAGGUCUUCAUCGCAUGCAAAAUUCGGAAGAUGCACAAUUACAUUGAUAGAACUCAAAAUUAGAGGUGUUCAUGAUAUAGUUGGAUUUGAUUUAAGUGUAUAAUUAUAUUCGAUCCGACUUUCGAUAUUUACAUAUUAUAAAUCUGAUCCAUUUAGUUUUUUUAGAAUCAAGCGUAUUAGAUAUACUGGUUUGAGCUAAAUUUCUUUUGGAUAUUAUAGAUAUCUAUGAUUUGGGCUAAUAUUGCUAAUUUUCAUGGGUCUGUAUUUAGAGAUAGAUUUACAACAUGUAUUGUAGGUGCCAUAACACCCUAAAUAUUAGGUCUAAUCUUCAUACCUUGCAUUGCCAUUAAAUUCUAGUCACAUUCCCCUCCCUUCCAGUAAAGAAACAAACUCUUUUUUGUUAUGUUAAAGAAUUUAAUACACUACCAGAAAAUUGACAAAUAGCAACGAAAACACUGAUGUAAAUAUUUCGUCGUACUUUCUCAUAUAAAUAGCGAUGGAAAAUUUCUGUUGGUAAUUACAGACCAAAAUUAUGAUGGAAUUUGUCCUGUCGAUAAUUUAUGAUAAAAUAGAAAAAAAAAAUAUUGUCUGCACUUCCAUCAGAAAUUUGACAUGUCAGUAUUUUUUUGAUGGAAUUAUCGAUGGACAUUCCAUCAAAAAAUUAAAUGAAAUAAAACUUGACAAUCCUCUUUUCCAUCCUCCUCCUCGUCUUCUUCUUCUUCUUCUUCCUAUCCAAAAAACCAGCAGCCCCCUCCACUUAUUUUCUUAUAAUUAAAUCCAGCCAUCAUCCUAAAAAUUCUAGCCACCCCAAACCACCAACAUCGAUCUAAAUUUAUCAAUAGUAUCAAUAUUUCUCUCUUAGUUCAAUAUACUAUGAAGCUCUGCUACAUUAAGUAAGCAAACCUAUCCAUUUUUCUUGUAAUCUAUUUAUGUUUUAGGUUAAUUUAUUGGAAUUUUUUAAUACUAUUUGUAGUUUGCUUGUAUAUUUAAGAGUUUUACCCUUUUUUUCAAAUAAAACUUUGUUGUAUUAAUGUAUGAUUUAUAUGUUAGGGGUUGUUUGAGAUUUGGGAAAAAUUGAAUUCAUUUGUCAUUUGAUGAAAUUGAGUUUGAUUUUGUAACUUAAGUGUGCUAUGAUAAUUGAAGAAAUAAUGGGUUAUUUAAUACUUGUCAAUUAUAUUUUAUUAAUUUUAUUGUCAAAUUGAAAAUUUGAGAAAAUUAAUUUUUUAGGAAAUUGAUAACAAUUAAAAUGUAUUAAUUUAGGUUGAAUAAGUUUGAAUUGAACAAACUUAUGAUUAAGAUAUGAUGUUGGUGCUUUAUAAUUUAUUACAUUGAAAGGAGGAUUAUGAUUAAAAGGUGUAGAUAUGAUGUUAUAUUAUGCAAUAAAACUAAAAUUGUGUAAGAUAUUUGUUGAUACUUUAUAAUACAUUAUAUUUAUAUUUGUUGUAUAUUUUUGAAGAUGUGUUCAUUAAUUGUAACAACUAAACAAUAAAUAUAAUAUAAUUUUUUUAAAUAGUGUAAAAUGUAACACUAGCAACAACAAAGGCAACAUCAAAUAUGUUAGUAGUUCAAGGCUUGUUGGUACUUUAUAAUGCAUCAUAUUUAUAUUUUUUGUUAUGGUUGUGGAUUUAAUGUGAGCAAUUAUUGAAUUGAAUAUGCUUGAAUAUGAUUGUAAAAAGUAAACAAAAAAAAUUCCUUCAUUGUUGUCAGACUUAAUGACAGACCAAGGUAUUUUGACCGAUUCAAUGACAAACUAUUUCAUCAAAAAUAAAGAUUCUUAAUUUUGAUGGAAUUGGAGAUGAAAUUUCAUUUUCAUUGGAAAGUUACAGAAGGUUUUGGGUGUUCUAAAAGAAUCAACAAAGGAAUAUUCUGUCAUAAAUUAAGAUUCUUAUUUUCAACAGAAUCGAUGAUGGACUUAUCAUUUCAUCGAAAAGUUACAGAAGGUUCUGAAUAUUUAGAUGAAAGUGAUAAUGGAAUAGUCUUUAAAAAAUUACCAAUUUUUAUUUCUGACAGAAUCGAUGAUAAAAUAAAAACUAUUAAAAAAUAAAAAAAGUUUGUCGGUAUUGGUAACAUGUCUAAAUCACCAACAAAAUUUCCAUCGGUGAUGUUUAAAUAUUAAAACAUGACGAUUCCUCUUUUCUCUCAUUUUUUUUUCUUCUUAAAAUUUCAAAUACCUUCUUUCUCACCAUCUCUCUUCUCUAUUGCUAUCAAACAUUGUCUCUCUUUUUCCUCACUAGCCGACCAACCUAUCUCUCUUGUUAACCAGCAGUGCAUCCUUUCUUUCUCUCUCUCUCUCUCCCCCCUCUCUCUCUCUUAACUGGUUUGCCCUCCCUCUUUUUUUCUUUUUCUCUAAGUCUUAACAUUCAAAUAAUAAUCAUAAACUACUCUAAAUUGUCAGGGUUAGUCUUAUUAAUAUAAUAUUUUUUAAUUGAUUUUUUUGUAUUUGUAUGGUUUAAAAACAAUUAGGUUUAGGUUAAAUUAAAGAUCGUAAUUUGAUUUUUUUUUUACGUUUGAUGAUUUAGUUAUGAAAUUGAUUAGGUCAUGAGUCUUGAUUCUUUUGAGGGAUUGGGUCGUCCAAUCUUGUGGAUUUGUCAAGCUUAGGUAAUCCAUGUACCUUGGGCUUUCAUUCCCCAUUGUUUAUAGCAUUGCAUUUGAGAUAUAAUCAUUUUGCUUUUGCUAAUUGAGGUUUUUUAUCCUUUUUUUAAUGGUUAAAGAUUUUAACCUCAAAUAAGAUUAGUUAGAUUAUUAGGAAUGUGUUAGUUAAUUUGUUUUAGUAGAUUUGCAAUGUGUUUUGGGACUUGUGUUUCAUGCCAAUUCUUUUUUAUUAUUAAUGGGCUAGGAAUUAUUCUAUAUAUUUAGAAUUGGAAUUGGAUUUCCUUAUUUGAUGAAUUUAUGGAUUUCAUAGUUACAUAAAUAUAUAUUUAAUAAUUUUUUAUGUGAUAAUAGAUAUGUAAACUUGCUAACUAUAACAUCAAAUAAAUUUUCCAAUAAUAUAAUUCAUUCAUAUCUUUUAUAGUAUGAUGAUUGUGUGAGACCCAAAUCAAUAUUAAACAAGAAAGAAUUAAAAAAUAUUUAACAAGAAAUGUAAUGAUUUAUAUUUGUGUUUAAAGGUUUGAAAUAAAAGAAUAUAGUUAGCUUUAAUUAUUUGACAUUGUGUCAUUUCAUCGUUGAAUAUUUUUUGUUGGGUGUAUGAAAAGGUUAUAAUCACCCUUUUCUUAUAAAAAAAAACACCUAGAUGAAGACAAAUAGUCCAAUAAAGGAAAAGAAAUAGGGUUGUAAAAUUAAAGGAAAUUGAAAUAUGGGUCCAAACAAUGAAACCCUGUUACUUUAUCUUGUACUUGUAAAUGCUUGACCAAAAUAUGAUGUAGCUUUGCAAUAUAGAUUUAUAGGUGUUUAUAGUAUGUGGAGAUUGUAUAUUAUUUGUGAUCUAAACCUAAUGGAUUAUGGGUUUCGAGCUUGUAGAAUGAAUGUAGUUUGGGUGGUUGUUGUGCUUGUCUAUAUUAAUGUAGGGUAAAAUCUUGGGUAGGAUCCCCGUAUAGGGAAAUUCUAUCAAACUUUUUAUUAAAUCACUUAUCAACUUAUUGUAAAAUUAUUAGAAUUAGUAUCUUGAUGAACAUUUUGAUUUGUGUUAAUUGUUUCUUAUAGACACCAUGUUUCAAAGGAGAAAAAAGUUUCAAGUCUAACAAGAGCAUUGUUAUUUCAUCAAGUAGUAGUGUCGGUGAUCGUAAGUGUGCCAUUAAUUUAGAUGUCGAUCAUGGGAAGGCACUUAAAAAGGCAUCUUAUGUAGAUGUUAUCGAUCAAAGCUCAUUUAAUAUGAGCAGAAGAGCUGGAAUCCCUUCGAAAAUAGAUUGAUAUACAAUAAAAACUAUGGUUGAAUGGAAGGUCGACAAUUUUACAUAAGUCAUGUCUUUUCUCACUGACGAACUUAUUUAUUUGUAUUAGGUUAUUUUAAGUUUUACAUUAAAUAAAAAUGACUUUCAUGAAUUAAUUUUAAGGUUUACCAAUAUUGAAGCUUUCCAUUUAAUAACAAGUAUGAUAAAAUCAUCGUUCAAAGAACAAUUGUUUCAAUAAAGUUGACUUUAAGAUCAUCCUGAAUGGAUGAAUGUAGUAGAUGUAUGCUGGGGAAAAUUGAAGGUUAGAUAAAUAAUUUAUACUUUUUUAUAUAGUUUUCCCAUAAUUUUGAAAACUAUUCAAUGUUUGAAUUGAAUUUUAAGAAAAAGUUUUACCGAGACACGAAAAAUGAGCAAGUGGUCAGGAAAGUGCGGGAAAAUCAUAAUGCAAUUAGGUAAGUAUCAAGCAAUAAGAUGUUAUAUUAUUGUAAAUUUCUAAUCUUUUAUUCUAUUACAUAGUUUUUGUUUAAUAAGUUUUUGUACCAAGUUGCGUGGUUGUGGUAUGAUGCUCAUAAAUAUGCAAUGAACAAAGCUGACUUUGAUGACAUAAUGUUGUGGAAAAAUUAUAAACCAAAACACAUCAUGAAGGAUAAUUGGGAAAAGUUUCAAGAAUUUAUGACAUCAGAUGAAUUUAAAAAGCGCUUAUGAUCCGAUUCUCAAAACAGAAACGAAGAAAAUCAUAAUUUAGUGAGUAAGCAUACCGAGGGAGCGCUUCCUUUUGUGAACCAUAUAAGGCAUCUGAUAAGAGCUUGUUGUUGUAUAUUUAUUUAUUUAUUUUUAAUUUAGUCUUCAUUUUUAGACUUUUUUAUACUAUUUAUUUUGUAAAAAAAAAAACAGCUUGAGUAGAAACCAACUCCAAUAGAGUUAUAUAAGGAAACUUAUAGAAGAAAAGCGGAUUGGAAAAAAGAAGUGAACUUUUUUCGAGCGAAAUAGCUCGUUGUAAGUUUUUUAAUAAAUUUCUUUCAAUUGACCGUGAUUAAUUGAGUUUAAUUACAAGAAUUUUAUUAUUUAGGGACCAAAUCCAAACAUUCAAGGAAUUAGAAGGACCAAAAAGAUAAAGACAAUCCAAGUUUCCAAAUUUGAAGAAUUAGCUACGGAAACAACAAUGUUUAUUCAUUAAUCGCGUGCGGCUUGGUUUAUUUUGUUUUUCUUUACUAUAUAGGAAAAAAACUAUCAUGUUAGUAAUUAUAUUACUAUUUCUUCUAAUUAGUUUAGUUAUUAUUAAAUUUAAUAUUUUUUAUAUAUAUAGAGAAUCAUUAUUAAAUUUAGUCUAUACCAUAUUUUGUUAGCGUCUCAGUACCCUUCAAACCUCGGGGACAUGGUGGCAGAAAAAAGUGAAGGGAGCAAGUUCGCCACUUAACUUAGUUAUAGCAUUUAGUAUUAAAGAGACAAAAUCUGAUCUUCAAAGUUGCAUGUAUCAAUGUUCGAAAGGAUGUUGGAAGGGAGAUCAAGAAAAAAACCUAUGUACUUUCCUUUCAGUCAAGCACAGAGGUGGGUUAGCCAUUAGAAUUUGGGUUAAAUUGUAAGACUUUUAUUAUUCAGGGAUGAAAAGGGUGCCCUUUUCCGUUGGUCGCUUGUUUCCUUGGCUCUCGCGGGCUUUGCCGCGUUUUAUUCCAAGAAAAAAAAGAAAAGAAAAAUACAUUAGAGAGGUUUCCAGUUAAUUUGGAAAAUCACGCUUCGAUGGUAUAGGAUUCCAAUUCACUUUCUAAUUUUACCAGCUCGGAGGUGAACAUCAUAGAUCAAAAUGGGUCACUAUUCAGUUGUAACCAUUUUUGUUAAGAUUAAUGAGUUUUGGUAAUUUACAAUUAAAUAAUACUCUUCUCUAUAUUAAUCGACUUAAUUAUUAGAAAAGGAAGUAAUUUUACCUAAUACUAAGAGAUUAAUGAUCGAAUUACCAUCCGCAUUCAAAUGAGAGGGAUGGGGGAAAGCAAAGGGAUUAAACUGAACCUCUGCUGGCAGAAACGAAAUAGAAUUUUCAGGGGUACAUAUGAGGAAAAAAAGAGAAACUUAAUUAUGAACCAUGAUCACAUACUUAAUCUAUAAUCUCAUAUUACUACUCGUUCGUAACGAUAAACAGUAAUAAUCCUGAAUACAAGCAGAACUUCAGGAAAAGCAAGAACCAAAAAAAAGAGGGAUCUAGCAGAGCACUGCCUCUAUCCUGGCAAUUCAUUAGAAAACCAUCACAAAAACGGCGACACAAGUACCGGCUAUAGCCACAAAUGGGGAAAUAUUGAUCCCUAAGGAUGAAUCGGGUACGUUGUUGGAUGAAGGCUUGUAAUUGGUGACGUUACUACCGGCCGGAGAAGUGGUAGUGCUAUCAGAAGAUGGAGUUCCUGAGGAGGAGGGACUUGUGCUCGAUCCUGCUGCUGCAACAGUGACUGCAACCUUCAUGCCACUCCCACAGUGGCCAGGAACACCACAAAUGAAAUAAUGAGUUCCGGCAGUCUUGAGGGCUAUUGUGGUAGCACCACUGCUAUCUGAAGUGAUUGCAUUGCCUGUAGUGCAUGUGCUGUAGUCACUGGCACUCACUUCAUCCACCGUGUGGCCUCCUCCGUAGUUAAACACUAGAUUAUAUAAACAGAAACCUGAUUAGUAAAUCAAGUACUAAUCUUGAUCAGUAACGUGUACUGAGAGAAAGGGACUCACCAAGGCUGUCGCCAACUGAAAAGGUCUUGCCACUAGUCCAGGUGCUAUAAUCCAUACCAAUUGCCCAGCCUGAACUAUCUCCUACAGUGUGAUCUUUAGCCAAAAUGGGCACCACCGUGCACAAGACUACUAGGAUUGCACAAGGAACUGAUCUUGAAAUUAAACCGGCCAUUUUCCGGGAGAAAAG
rnacentral:lncRNA from 1 species